rnacentral:lncRNA from 1 species
AUGAAUCUAACAAUUACGAGUAAUGUCUUUGUGACAAGAACUUUCUUUGUCUUUUAUUCCCAUGUUUGAACUAGUAUAGGUCGGGGUUACACAUUAUGGUGCACAUCACUUUAUUUAUCAUCGUUACAUUGAACGCUCAUUGACUAAACAACGAUGAUCCAUCCAUCUUGUAUUGUAGGUCUUCAUUUCAUUGGCCACCGAUGCUUGUAAGACUAGUCUCAUAUGGUUGUUGUUGUGGAUAUGGUUGUUGAGGUUGGUGUGGUUGCUGGGGUUGCUGGGAAAUUGUUUGUUCUGGUUGCUGGGAUAAUUGUUGUUGGGGCUGUAGAAAUGGUUGUUGUGGUUGUUGGGGUAAUGGUUGUUGUGGUUGCAGGAUGGAUGGUUGUUGGGGUUGCUGGGGUUGGGGCUGGGGAAAUGAUUGUUGUGAUUGUUGGGGUUGCUGGGGAAAUGGUUGUUGCGGUCCUAGGAGGAAUGAUUAUUGUGGUUGUUGGGGGAAUGGUUGUUGNNNNNNNNNNNNNNNNNNNNNNNNNNNNNNNNNNNNNNNNNNNNNNNNNNNNNNNNNNNNNNNNNNNNNNNNNNNNNNNNNNNNNNNNNNNNNNNNNNNNNNNNNNNNNNNNNNNNNNNNNNNNNNNNNNNNNNNNNNNNNNNNNNNNNNNNNNNNNNNNNNNNNNNNNNNNNNNNNNNNNNNNNNNNNNNNNNNNNNNNNNNNNNNNNNNNNNNNNNNNNNNNNNNNNNNNNNNNNNNNNNNNNNNNNNNNNNNNNNNNNNNNNNNNNNNNNNNNNNNNNNNNNNNNNNNNNNNNNNNNNNNNNNNNNNNNNNNNNNNNNNNNNNNNNNNNNNNNNNNNNNNNNNNNNNNNNNNNNNNNNNNNNNNNNNNNNNNNNNNNNNNNNNNNNNNNNNNNNNNNNNNNNNNNNNNNNNNNNNNNNNNNNNNNNNNNNNNNNNNNNNNNNNNNNNNNUGCAGGGGGAAUGGUUGUUGGGGAAUUAUUUGUUCUGGUUGCUGGGGGAAUGGUAGUUGGGGCCGGGGAAAUGGUUGUUGGGGUUGCUGGGGGAAUGGCUGUUGUGGUUGCAGAGGGAAUGAUUGUUGGGUCUGGGGAAAUGGUUGUUGUGAUUGCUGGGAAAAUUGUUGUUGGGGUGUGGGAAAUGGUUGUUGCGAUGGAUAUGGUUGCUGUGAUGGAUAUGGUUGUUGUGGAUAUGGCUGUUGUAGAAAUGGUUGUUGUUGAUAGGAAAAUGAUUGUUGAGGUGAUUGUAAUUCUUUGUUGCUAGGGUUUAGCUGCCUAGCGGCAGUGGCGAUGUUCAUCGCCAUGGCAAGGAGGACAAAGAUGAGGAAGGUCUUCAUGUUGGAUUUGUGGUUACUACUGCUUGCUUGCUUUUGAUGCUUGUGGUCUAGGUGUGUGAAGUUUGGAUGAUGAAAUGUGGUCUUGGUGGUGCAUGUGUAUUUAUAGUUUUCAUGGCAUGGCUUGCUUUCUUCUUCCCACUCGCUUUUUGAAAAAGUGCACCAAUGCUUAUCCAACUAAUCAUUUGAUUUGUUGUGUUUGGUGCAACUACUUACUAGCAAGAUUUUGGAUUUUCAUGAUAGUUGCUUUUUGUUGAAAUCAUCUGGUUGUAAGGAAUGUUGGAUAAUGACCAAUGACUCAUCUUCUUCACUUUACACUGCAAACAUUGAUCUAAAUUAUAUCCUUUUUUGAAAUUUAGUUUGUGAAGCUCUACAUGUUGUUAGGCUUAUCUAUAUUGGCAUAGCUUGAGUGGAAUUAAGUUUGUAAGCUUGUGAGCGUCAUUAUGAUGGAUCACACUAUUAAUGUGAUGAUUGUACUACAAAUUAUCUUUCCAAAACUAAUUUUAUGUUUUUUCCCAAUAUGAUUCUAAGACGGAUAACCAGACAUGACUCAUCAAAUAACAAGAUAAACCGAGUAGCAAAUUGGGGUUAUAAGUUAUAACAUGGACUUUUCUCUAAGAUACACUAUCUUGUCUUGCAUGCUCUGUGAAUUUGAAAAGCAUCUACUAAUUUAUAUGCAAUUGAAACAAAAGUAGACCAGAAAGAUAAGCAAUGAAAUGAGAAUACUAUUAUGUGAAGCUCUACAUGUUUGGCAAGCAAUAAGAUACUGGAUACAUCUAUAUCUUCAAUCCUGACAAUUUUUCUCAUCCCUAUCAACUCUUUAUUGGCUGCCUUUACUGUAGUCAUCCCUUAAAUAAAAAUCACUUAAAGAUAAGUUUGGGAGCUAGUACCAGCAUCUAUCAUGUACAAGAUAAAAAACUAAGGCACAUAUAGUAGUCUAUUGACUAUAUUUAAUUUCAUGUGAUGUGAAAGCAUGUGGAGUAUAAGUUGGUUAAAUAUAAAAUUGUCCUUCAUACCAGUAGGGAAAGAAUAUGCAGUAUAAAGAUUAGAGCAUUAUUAAUAUGCUAUUAAAUGCUACAGGAUAAUCGAUAGUUCAAGUUAAGAACAACAAUAGCAUUCCAACUUUUGUUUUGUGCAAGUUAAGAACAUGCUAACAAAGUAACCUAAGCAAAUAAGUGCAACACCUUCACCUAUAAGGAAAUUUUGAAACUACACAAAAUGACCUAUUGUAAAGAAGGAAAAAAAUCUAAAGGUGAAUGAAAAGCAUGUUAAGUACAUUCAGGAUUCGGUUAUGCCUUCAUGGAUAACCUUUUAGAUGGUGACUUGUCAACCUUGAUGUGUGUCGGCAUGGAACGAGGACAAGAAGACAUCGUUACGUCGUACUUUGGGAAUUUCAUCAAACUGGUUGUGUGCGGGAACAAAUAUUUGUCGCCUCCCUGCUCAAAUCUCUCUUCAUGUCACUAAAUCCGACACUCCACCUACCAAAAUCAGCUGCAAGCCAGGGACAAUCAACAGGUUUCUCCGCCCGUAGCAUCUAUCACCAAAAGAAGUUCAGACUAUAGUCUUGUAGUUUAAAAUUUUGUAAUAACAAGCACUACUAGGUUGCUCUUGUUUGUACGUCUUCAUUAUGUACAACCCAUGGAACUUAAAAUGCAUGGGUCAUUCUUCGGUAUAUACAACCAAUGCAACCAAACAUGCAUUGGGCUUUUCUUUGUACAUCUUCAGGUUCUACAACCAAUGCAACAAAAAAUCCAUUGGGCAGUCUUCCAUUCUAGUCGGGCACCAAUAGUUAAACGAGGAGCUAAACAGUGUUGGAGUCUAAAACUACAUACAAUCAUGAAGCAGAGAGAUGCGACUUGGAAGUUGUGCUCCUGUGAGCUCGUAUUUUUGAAGAAAAAAGUAAUAUUUGUAUUUUGAAGUGGGAAAAAGUCCUAAAAAGGGAUGUUUUGCGGGUUAUAACUUACUAUUUUUGAGUCCUGGGCUGCAGGAAGGUCGUAAAAAAUCAAUGUGUUUUCCCAUUCAUGCAUGUUUCUUGGGUUAUAGGUCACGCUUUUGGUGUCCUAGGGAGAUCACUUCCCCAGUUGGGAACAUUAGGUGAUGAUUUUUAGCAAAACUCAUUGUUUUAGCCUAACUAGUUUCGAGGAUUGGUGGACAAGAUUAUCAUGGAACAAAGUGACAACCUUCCUUUUCUUCAUGCCUAAUAUAAACUUAGCAGUCAACUAAAAGUAACUAGCGAUAUCACAGAAUGUUUUUUUGUCAAAAGUAGAUACCACUUCAGGAUUCAACUCGGUUAGUUCAAUCAUAGACAUGUUAAGAGCAGGAUUUACAACUAACUGCAUAGGGAACAUCUCCUUUUAUCGCCCACUAUCUGUCUAUGCACUUUGGUUUUCCCGUAGCAGCACACAAAGCACUUUGUUAGUACCAAUAAUGUGCUCCAACUCUACACAUUAAUCAUCUUGAAUUCUUCUACUGAUGUCGAACAAUGUUAUAUCUUGAAUUCUUCUAACGAGUUCAGAUUAUACUACAUGGGCAAUUUAUCUGGUCCCUGAGAUGCAAGGUCGAUGAACAAUCGCUUCGUCUGAUGAUGAGGGAUUGUUUUUGCCUAAGAAACCAAUACAUGUAACUUCGACGCCAGAUUAAUAAUUGGUAAAACCCAAAUAAAUUAGAUCACGAGCUAAACCAUUUAAUUUUGUAUGCAUUUAAACUUUUGAUACAUAUGAGCUUGUUAAGAUGUUCGCAUAAACACCAUGGUGAUUUGAAGCAAGACAAAGUAAACUUGAACCGCUUGAGCCACUGACUUAAUAAGAACCUCCUUUCCCGUGGCAGAGAUCGUUUUUAAUACAUCCACUCACUUUGGUUCUCUUAUGAAAUCUAGAUUCCUUCGCUAAGGCUAUUGCUCCAGUAUUGUCACAAAAGAUUUUUGUUGGACCCGAUGCACUAGGUAUGACACCUAGAUCGGAUAUGAACUCCUUCAUCCCGACUCCUUCAUUUGCUACUUCCGAAGCAGCUAUGUACUCCUCUUCACAUGUAGAUCCCUCCACGACGCUUUGCUUGAAACUGCACCAACUGACAGCUCCACCAUUCAAUAUAAAUACGUAUCCGGUUUGUGACUUAGAGUCAUCCAGAUCAGUGUCAAAGCUUGCAUCAACGUAACCAUUUACAACGAGCUCUUUGUCACCUCCAUAAAUGAGAAACAUAUCCUUAGUCCUUUUCAGGUAUUUCAAGAUGUUCUUGACCGCUAUCCUAUGAUCCACUCCUGGAUUACUUUGGUACCUCCCUGCUAAACUGAUAGCAAGGCACACAUCUGGUCUGGUACAUAGCAUUGCAUACAUGAUAGAACCUAUUGCUGAAGCAUAGGGAAUGACUUUCAUUUUCUCUCUAUCUUCUGCAUUGGUCGGGCAUUGAGUCUAACUCAACUUCACACCUUGUAACACAGGCAAGAACCCUUUCUUUCCUUGAUCCAUUUUGAACUUCUUCAAAACUUUAUCAAGGUAUGUGCUUUGUGAAUGUCUAAUUAACCGUCUUGACCUAUCUUUAUAGAUCUUGAUGCCCAAUAUAUAAGCAGCUUCACCGAGGUCUUUCAUUGAAAAAUUCUUAUUCAAGUAUCCUUUUAUGCUAUCCAGAAAUUUCGUAUCAUUUUCGAUCAACAAUAUGUCAUCCACAUAUAAUAUCAGAAAUGCUACAAAGCUCCCACUCACUUUAUAAAGGCUUCUCCAAAAGUCUGUAUAAAACCAUAUGAUUUGAUCACACUAUCAAAAUGUAUAUUCCAACUCUGAGAGGCUUGCACCAAUCCAUAAAUGGAUCACUGGGCUUGCACACUUUGUUAACACCUUUUGGAUCGACAAAACCUUUUGGUUGCAUCAUAUACAACUCUUCUUUAAGAUAUCCAUUAAGAAAUGCAGUUUUGACAUCCAUUUGCCAAAUUUCAUAAUCAUAAAAUGCGGCAAUUGCUAACAUGAUUUGGACAGACUUAAGCAUCGCUACGGGUGAGAAGGUCUCAUCAUAAUCAACUCCUUGAACUUGUCGAAAACCUUUCGCAAAAAGUCGAGAUUUGUAGACAGUAACAUUACCAUCAUCGUCAGUCUUCUUCUUGAAGAUCCAUUUAUUCUCUAUGGCUUGCCGAUCAUCGGGAAAGUCAACCAAAGUCCACACUUUGUUCUCAUACAUGGAUCCCAUCUCAGAUUUCAUGGCCUCAAGCCAUUUCGAGGAAUCUGGGCUCAUCAUUGCUUCCUCAUAGUUUGUAGGUUCAUCAUGGUUGAGUAACAUGACCUCCAGAACAGGAUUACCAUACCACUCUUGUUGGGAAUAUGACUACCAGGUAUGACCCGCCCAGGAGGGGCCGGGUCAAUCCUAAUGGCGGGUUACUAAAAGAAGCUCAGUGAAUAUACAAGGCGAUAGUUUAUUAUAAGACUUGUAGUAGGACCAAGCCCAAAGGCGGGUUAAGGCCCAUAAUUGUAAACCGCCAUGUAUAAGAAAGAAUUGUAAAGAAAGGCAUGUAAGAGAAGUCACCGAGCCGGGCACGUUAUAUGAGCCGGCUGGGACUCUGUAGGCCGCCAGGCGUCAACCCGUGUAUAUAAGGGGACGACCCGGUGGCGGCUUAGGGCAAGUAACAUCAAAUCGAGAGCCAUGCAUAGCGUAUUUGCUCCCUGGUCAUCGAAACCUAGCAAUACCACAUCAACUGGACUAGGCUUUACCUUCACCGUAGGGGGCCGAACCAGUAUAAACCUUUCGUGUCCUUUGUCCCGAUUAACCCCUUUAAGCUUCCUAGUUGCGAUGGCUCCACGACUAAGUCCUUUCAGUAGGACAUCUGCCGUGACAAUUCCACGACAGUUGGCGCCCACCGUGGGGCCAUCGCACGAUGGAUUUGAGUUCUUGAAGGGCAGCUUCCAAGGGCUCAAGGGAUACGCUGUGGGCCGGAUAACCAAAAGUUGUCACAGCAAGCUCUACAUCGACGACGCAGGCUGGGGCCCCGAGGCUGGCUCAAUCGAGUACGGGUACCGGGUCCCCUUCGGCGGAAUCCACGUCUUCAUCGGCCGGAUCGGCGAGCCGGGCCCUGAGUCGGACAUCUGCACCGACCUCAUCGAGAUGGCUCAGCGAGUGAGACCUGCCCGGGCUCAACCUGCCGUGAGGCGUGCCUUCGUGGGUUGCAUCCAUGGAGGGGAAUUUUCUGAAGGAUCGAUGGACGGUGGUGAGACAGUCGUUUGCUCUAGCAGUGAGUCGUCCAUAGGCGAGACAGAUUCUUUGUAUCAGCUACAAGAUGGCGGGCUUGGGGGCUGUUCCGAUGGCAGUAGUAUUCCGGACCCCUCUGAGCCGCCGAAUCGAGCCGGAGUCUUCAUGGCUGGCACUCAACCUGGUUAGAAUUCUAUGGCUGCGGCAGCAAUAACCACUGGGUCAGCAGGGGCCGGGUCAGGAGACCCCGCGCGCCCACCGGCUCAGGUACUAAUGGACCUCAUGGAUAGGAUGACGGCCCUGUUGACUGCUGUGGUUGAGCCGGCAGAUAAGGCUCAGCAUGACGCAGAGGUAGCACAGCUACACAGAGAGGUAGCACAGGCCAAGGAAAAUUUAGUGGCGGAAGAUGUCAGGAUGGCCGCGGAACGGGCGGCUCUGGAUGCACGGGCUCGGCAGCUUCAAGCGAAGACUUUCUGGCUCUCGGUGGAUCUGAACGCAUCAAACGAGGUCACGAGGAGAAGGCACCAGAAGGCUCAAUCAUGUCUGCCUCUGACUUACGAUCCUAGGAACCUUUUUCACACACCCGGGACUGGUCCCAGUAACCCGCUGAAGGCAAACCGGAUCACAACACCCGGGACCGGGACGCCGGUUCAACCGCGGGCCAUGGAACCACCGCGUGUGAAUACUGCUCUGCCUCACUACACAGCGAUACCACCGGGUCACUUCUCUAACCCCUUGGAGAACCUUAUUGCUGCGUCGGCUCAUCUGGCGGCUCUCCCGAUGGAAGGUGACUCUUCGACGGCGAUCGAGACACGACGGGUCAGAGAACUUCUUCAGACGGCUCUGGCACAGCAGGAUGCAUAUUCUUAUAGUUGAGAUAGAAUCCAUUCAACCCCUCGCCCAAGCCGGAGCCCAAGCUAUAGCAGGCAUAUGGACUCGGCGGCCAUGUCAAGCAACACCCAGCGCCGUAACCAUCCACGUGGGCGUGACCCGGCCCCGGGCGGAGCUUGUAACUUGGUAGACCAGGAGAGGAUCCGUCAAGAGGCUGAACGGGUGGUUCAACAGGCGGCUGAGCAAGCGGCUCACCAAGCUUUUCCAAUUUAUACAGUGACCUCUGUUGAAGCAGGGGUGGCCACAAGGACAGGAGGAGUCCCUUGUCUUGUGCAGUCUCUGCGUAAUGAGCGUUUACCAAAGGACUUUAAGGGGCCUCGUAAGGUGCCCAAUUACACAGCCGACCUGCAGCCCGGAGCAUGGAUUGAAAGUUACGAGAUGGCCAUGGAGUUAUUAUAAGUCAGUGACGCAGCAAUGGCCAAAUACUUCACCAUGAUGUUGGAUGGAACAGCUCGUACUUGGUUAAAGGGGUUACCGCCCAACUCCAUCGGCUCAUGGGCGGAGUUGAAGGCACGGUUCAUUCAGAACUUUAAAGAUACCUGUAAACAGCCCAUGUCAAUCGUGGACUUGACUAACUGCAAGCAAGAGGAAGGCAAAUCCAUGACCCAUUGGGUGCGCCGGGUCAAGGAAAUAAUACAUUCAUCUGAUAAGAUGGAUGCCAGCUCCACGGUCUUAAUGUUGGAGAAAAAUUACCGUUUUGAACCUCUGAAACAGAAGCUGGGGCGGCUCAAGCAUGAUUGUAAUGACAUGGGCCAGUUGAUGGCGGCUCUGGUCAAAUAUGCUGACUCUGACAGUACCAAGGAUCCCAUGUCUGACGAAGAGAAGACGAGGAAGGGAAAGAAGAACGGCAACGGCAAGGGUCACCAGCAUAACCCGACAAAUCAAGGAGGUAAUAAACGCAAGGCUGACGAGUUUGUGGCUAACACCAAUGCACAUGGCAACAACCAAUGGCGCAAGGGGAGGCCACCUCCUCGGUCAGGCGGAUCAGGUCCCACCCUCGAGCAACUACUAAAUGAACCCUGUCCGGGACAUGGCACCCGGGAGAAGCCGGCUACCCAUCUGUGGAAGGAUUGUACGAUCAUGAAGGCUUUUAAGAAUUCUAACAUGUUUGAUGGUAACCACGGGCCUGCUGGCGGCUCAGGCGGUGGCGGUUUUCAUGGCCAAGGCCAUCCGGGUAGUCAAGGCGAUUAUAGUCAGCAAUCCGGCCAGGGCAGUCAGCAACAGCAGCAACAGCCCGUGUAUCAGAGUAACCCAAAACAGCUGAACAGUGGACAGUACCAUGUGUUUACCACCAGUUUGUGCAAGAGGGACCAGAAGCUUCAGAAGAGGGAUGUAAAUGCUAUUGAGCCGGCGGUUCCACGUUAUUUGAGAUGGUCUGAACAACCUAUUCUGUGGAGUAGGGAAGAUCACCCACCCCGGGUUGAUAAUCCGGGUCAUCUGGCUUUGGUGGUGGCGCCUCAGGUUGGUGGAUAUAAGUUCACUAAAGUGCUCAUGGACGGAGGCAGUAGCAUCAACGUCCUCUAUUAUGAGACGUUCUGUCGCAUGGGGUUGACUGAUAAGAGUCUUAAAACAUCCAACACUGUUUUUAUGGGGUAGUGCCUGGUAAGUCGGCGUACCCAGUUGGUAAAAUUGAGCUGGAAGUGGCCUUUGGAGAUGAGUAUGAUUCUAGGGCUGAGAAGCUAACUUUUGAAGUGGUUAAAAUCAAGAGCCCAUAUCACGCUCUGUUUGGACGGCCGGCUUAUGCUAAGUUCAUGGCCCGGCCGUGUUAUGUGUAUUUGCAGCUCAAAAUGUUGGGUUAUAAAGGCACUAUCAUAGUACAUGGAAGCCGGAAAAUAGCCCUGGAAUGUGAAGAAGGUGAUGCUGCAUAUGCCGAGUCUGUUUGUGCAACAGAGGAAUUGAAGUUUUAUAAGGAUAAUGUUGACCCGGCAAACAUGGCGUCUUUGAAGAAGCCAACUACGGAGCAUGAGCCGGCAUUGAAAUUCAAGUCCGCUGAUGACACCAAGAUGAUUGAUUUCGUGUCUGGCGACUCAUCCAGACACUUCAUUAUCAGUGCUAACUUGGAUCCAAAAUAGGAAAGCGUGCUCAUCGAGUUCAUCCAUGAGAACCGGGACAUCAUUGCAUGGAAGCCUUCUGACAUGCCGGGUGUUCCGAGAGAACUCGUUGAGCACACUCUCAAUAUUCAUCCAAAGUUUAAGAUGGUCGGGCAAUUUCUUCGGCGGUUUAACGAGGAAAGGUGCAAGGCCAUUGGAGAAGAGGUGGCCCGGCUCUUGGCGGCCGGGUUCAUUGUUGAAGUUUUUCACCCAGAGUGGUUGGCUAACUCGGUGCUUGUGCUUAAAAAGAACGGCACCUGGCGCAUGUGUGUGGAUUACACAAAUUUAAACAAGGCUCGUCCAGCUGAUCCUUUUGCUCUCCCUCGUAUUGAUCAAAUCAUUGAUGCUACGGAGGGUUGUGAGCGUUUGAGUUUUCUGGAUGCUUAUUCGGGUUAUCAUCAGAUCAAGAUGGCAGUUAAGGACCAGGAGAAAACAGCUUUCAUCACUCCGUUUGGAGCCUUCUGCUAUGUGUCUAUGCCUUUUGGGCUCAAGAGUGCCCACGCGACUUAUCAGCGGUGUGUACAAAAUUGCCUUCAUAAUCAGAUUGGGUGUAAUGUUCAUGCUUAUGUGGAUGAUAUAGUGGUGAAAUCCAGAGAGAAGGAAACCUUAGUAGCUGAUCUAAAGGAAACCUUUGGUAACCUCCGGGUCUACAAGAUGAUGCUUAACCCGGCCAAGUGUGUUUUUGGAGUCCCAGCUGGCAAGCUCUUGGGUUUUUUGGUGUCUAAUGGAGGCAUUGAGGCUAACUCGGAGAAAAUAAAGGCAACCACGUCUUUGGCUAAACCGGCAUGCAUCAAUGACGUUCAGCGGCUGGCGGGCCGUGUCGCAGCUUUAAGCCGGUUUAUAAGUCGGUUGGGCGAGAAGGCUAUGCCAUUGUAUCAAAUGAUGAAAAAGGUGGAUGACUUUGUAUGGAGUGACGCUGCUGAUUCCGCUUUUGAAGGUUUGAAAAGACAGCUUGCUGGGCCACCUAUUCUUGCUGCCCCCGUUGAGAAGGAGCCGCUAUUGUUAUAUGUGGCUGCUAACUCACAAGCCGUCGGCAUGGCCAUUAUUGUGGAGCGCAAGGAGGUUGGCAAGGAACAUCCAGUUCAAUGGCCGGUUUACUACGUCAGUGAGGUGCUCAUUGGAUCCAAGAAAAGAUACCCACAUUAGCAAAAACUUGUUUAUGGGGUGUUCAUGGCAAGCCGGAAGCUUAAGCAUUACUUCCAGGGUCAUCCUAUCACUGUGGUUAGCUCUGCUCCUUUAGGAGAUAUUAUUUAGAACAGAGAAGCCACAGGACGAGUCGCCAAGUGGGCCAUUGAGCUUGGGGUCUCAUAAUAUAAAGUAUGUGCCACGUACGGCUAUUAAGUCUCAAGCACUGGUGGACUUCAUUAAUGAUUGGACGGAGUUACAGACACCUGAAGAGAAGCCAGACAACACAUAUUGGACGAUUCAUUUCGAUGGGUCCAGGCAGUUGGAAGGCUCGGGGGCUGGAGUUGUGUUAACUUCUCCUCGAGGUGACAAGUUUUGUUAUGUGUUGCGAUUGAUGUUUCCUUGUACUAACAAUGCAGCAGAAUAUGGGGCCUUGCUCCAUGGUCUUCGAAUGGCUAAAGAGAUGAGUUUAAGACGGGUACGGUGCCUUGGCGACUCAGAUUUGGUGGCUCGGCAGGUGUCAGGCAAGUGGGAUUCCAAGGACCCUCUCAUGGCGGCUUAUCGCCGGGAAGUUGAUGAUGUUGUUGGACAUUUCAAAGGUUAUCAGGUGGAGCACAUUGACCGCAGAAAAAACAAAGCGGCUGAUGCUUUAAGCCGGUUGGGAUCACAGCGUAAGCUGGUGCCACCUAACACUUUUCUAGAUGUUCUUCAAAACCCUUCUGUCAAACUGCCUACAGAGGAAGAUUUGGUCAUUCCAGACCCGGAGGCACAGUUAGUAGCGGCUCUUCAUGUUAUUCCAGAUUGGACAUUACCGUAUUUGGCUUACAUGACCCGGGGUGAGUUGCCAGAGGAUGAGACCUUGGCUCGACAGAUAACCCGACGGUCUAAGUCAAUGACAAUUUCCAAUGGUGAGUUGUAUCAUCGCAGCGUCACUGGAGUGUUUCAACGUUGUGUCUCUCCCGAAGAAGGUCAAGAAAUUCUUCGUGAGAUCCAUGAAGGGGAUUGUGGUCAUCACGCUGGUUCAAAGUCUCUUGUGGCUAAAGCUUUUCGUCAUUGUUUUUACUGGCUAACGGCUCACGCUGAUGCAGAGGAUCUGGUCAGUAGGUGUGAUGGGUGUCAAAAAUUUGCACGACGAGCGCACGUGCCGGCUUAAGAAUUGCGGAUGAUUCCAAUCACUUGGCCGUUUGCAGUCUGGGGGCUUGACAUGGUUGGACCUUUUAAAAGAUCCAAGGAUAAAAAGACACAUCUUUUGGUGGUAGUUCACAAAUUUACAAAAUGGGUUGAGGCAGAGCCGGUUAGUAAGUGUGAUGCAGCCACGAUGGUUCAGUUCAUGAAAAAGGUGAUCUUUCGUUUUGGCUUUCCACAUAGCAUUAUAACUGACAAUGGUACUAAUCUGUCCAAAGGCAACAUGGAGGAGUUUUGUCAAUGUGAGCAUAUCCGGCUUGAUGUUUUGUCUGUAGCUCACCCCCAAUCCAAUGGUCAAGCUGAGAGAGCAAAUCAGGAAAUCCUAAAAGGUCUCAAGCCCGACUUAUGGUUCGUUUACAACGGACGCCGGGUUGUUGGGUGGAGGAAUUACCCUCGGUGCUGUGGAGUAUCAAUACCACUCCUAACAGAUCUACAGGUUAUACACCUUUCUUCAUGGUUUAUGGAGCAGAAGCAGUUCUGCCUAGUGACAUCCGUCAUGACUCACCUCGCGUGGCGGCCUAUGUUGAAGCUGAUAAUGAACAAGCCCGACAGGAUGCACUUGACUUGUUAGAUGAGGAGAGAGAUUUGGCAGUGGCUCAAUCAGCAAUUUAUCAACAAGACUUGCGCCGUUAUCACAGCCGCCGGGUUAAGUCCAGAACCUUUCAAGAAGGUGACCUAGUGCUCCGGCUCAUCCAGGAUCUGUCUGAUGCACACAAGCUAUCCCCGCCUUGGGAAGGACCCUUUGUGGUCAACAAGAACUUAAACAAUGGGUCAUAUUACCUCAUUGAUGUUCGAGAGCACAAAGACCCACGUAAGUCGGAGGAGGAGACCCGCCGGCCGUGGAACAUCGCUCAGCUUCGGCCAUACUACACUUAAACCAUCGGCUCUCAUCAUGUACAUACUUUGACGUUGUAUAUAAUAUGAUAAGUAAUAAAGCAGGACCUCUGUCCUUUUUCCCCUUCAAUGAUCAUAUAUCUUUAUUAUUUUCAUUAUUUAAAAUGACCAUUAGGGGGCUGAUCGUAUCCGAAUCUAGCUUAACCCUUUUGGUCCGGCUCAUGAUCGUAUUCGAAUCUAGCCGUAAAACUCAUGGUCACUUGGGGGCUUCCUGUUCAAACAUAGGUCGUAUUCGAACCAAAGAGAACAUAGCUGUCGUAACCCUCUUGAUCGGCUCAAAGCCAAACUCACUAGGGGGCUUCUUGAUCGUAUCUGAAUCAUAGCUUAACCCCUUUUUGGGUCCAACUUGGAUCGUAUUCGAAUCAGGGUCGUUAAAAACCUCUCAAGGUCAUUUGGGGGCUUCCUAUUCAAACAUAGGUCGUAUUCGAACCAAAGAGAACAUAGCUGUCGGUACCCUCUUGAUCGGCGCAACGCCAAAGCCACUGGGGGCUAUAUGAUCGUAUCCGAAUCUUAGCUUAACCCCUUUGGUCCGGUUUACUGAUCGUAUUCGAAUUAGAAGCCUCCAGUUUUUAUUUAAAUGUUUGAUUUACAUUGUCUGAAGCCUAGUGUUUUAUCUUACUAUUUUUAUCGUCUCAAAUCUAACUGUUAGUAUGGUUUCAAAUUAAACCGGCUUGGCUAUUUGACAAUGUGUCGCCAAGGCAUAACAGUCAUCAGACAUAUGGAAGUAUUGACUUCUAAAAAAGAUUGGGUUAUCAACCUCAUCAUCCGGGUCAUGUAAACCGACAGUCCAUGUUCAAAAACCACAGGUAUGACAGUGUCAUUCAUGAACAGACUUCCCUGGGUUUUUCGUCAGUCAAAGGAUUUUUCAGCCUUGUUUAUCUUACAUCUGGUUCUAUUUUUUCCACUAUGAUAAUUUCAUAAUCAUGUACCGGGUGUUUUGACCCGUCCGGUGCUAAGCCACCGGGACAGUUUUUUUCAUCUUUUACAGGAACAGAGUUAAAACAUUACAGAUGUAACCACGAUGUAAUGCAUAUAUAUAUUGACAUCAUGGGCAAAGAGUCAUAUGAAACAUCUUAUGCACGAUGGCAUAGGCAAAAUAUGCAAUUUUCAAACUAACCUAUUACAAGGCAUUGAGAGCCCAAAAGGUUAAACGGUUUUCUCUCUUAAGCAGGUCUUAAGCUAAAAACUGGAUUGUUCAGAUGGUUAUGACUCCUCCCUGGCCGUUUCACCUCCCUCCACUGGUUGGAAGCUGGGAUUGGACCAGUCAAAGCCGUUCAGAGCAAUGAACUCAGCCUCAUCGUCAAUUAGGCCGGCCGGGUCAAUUUGCAGGGCAAAAGUGUGUUGACGAACCGGCGGGAUAAGAUCCAUCACUUUAUAAGAGGGAGUCGCCAUCUUUUUAUUCUCCAUAUCAAAACCCGACUGAUAUUUUUCGAUGUUGGUCUCCUCACCAAGAAUGGUAGCCUGAGGACGAACUCCCCUCACACAAGCAAUAAAGUCAUCUUGCUCAAACGGAGUCCCGUCUUCCUUCAUGGUAGGGUACCCCUUAGCCACGUCCACCGGGUGUAAAUCGGGCACCCAGGCUUUGGAGCGGCUCAGGGCAGUCAGGGCUCCGACUCUGGCACAAGAUCGUUUGACCUCUUGAAAUCUGGCGGGUAAGAUCGAUAACUUCUUCAAAACAUCACUUAAACGGUUGGGUCCUUGGUUGGCAGGGGAUAUAUAUAGUAGAAAGUGCUCGUUGAGCACCAGUGUACAGUUGCUCCACCAAGGUAUAAACCGCCUUCAGUUUUGUCACACUAUCUUGACUCAGAUAUUUUACUUCGUGGACCUGUGAGUACUUUUUAACAAAGGCUCAGCAGGCGGCUUAUAUUUCUGGUUAAAAUAAAGUAUAAGUGACUAAUGCAAAUGACUUACCAAAGAUGGCGGAGACCAUUUGAUACACACGGUUUUUUAAGCCGGUGAGCUCCAUGGUAACCUCCUCAAGAGUCGCCUCUGCUGUCUUGGCACGUUGUGUCAGCAAGGUCUUCUCAUCGGCCCAGGAUUUCUUCUUCUCAGUCACACUGGUCUUCAAUUUUUCAGUUUUAGAGAGACUCAAUUGGAGUUUGGAGUUAGCAGUCUUUAUCUCCGCUUCUUGAUCCGCCAGCCGGGUCUUUGCAUCCGUCAAUUGAGAUCCCAAUUCAGUUAGGGCGGUCUACAAACAUGCAUAGGUGUGUCAAAAUUUAAACACAAGUUAUAUUGAUUAAAGUCGCGAGUGCUUUGCAACGCAACACCACUUGGCACUUGGGGGCUAAUGUCUGCCAAAGCAAUUUUAUGCAAAAUGACUCUUCUAUGUUUCAAGUCCCAAGUGUUUUACAAAGUAACAACGCUUGGCACUUGGGGGCUAAUGCAUGAUAUUCAGAAAGUUUUUCAAGAUGAGCCGGAUCACACUACUUAUUUGGACUAAUCUAAGACAGUUAUGAAGUUAAGUACCGGGUCAUUUAUGAUAAAUUGAGCCGGCCCUUGGGGACUACAUGUGAAGUUUAUACUAAUCCGUUGAACUUAGGAAAAAUCUAAAGACAAGGUAUCAACCUAUAUCAUAAGUCUACAGAUCAUUCAGGUUCAUCAUAAUCUGAAGACUUGGGGGCUGGCAGAGUAUAUAUAAACCGGAGAACGUACCUCAUAUUCUGUAACAUCCCAAAUUUUCAAUUUGGAAUGUUACACGUUAGGUCAUCAUGCAUAUCAUAUUUUAUUUUUCUUUUGGUUUUGAUCCUAGAAAAUCCUAAGCAACUCAAGGACCCACGGAGAGAGUUGGGGAUUUCAUUAUUUACAUAUUUGAGUUUUCUCAAAUUAUGUAAACAGGAUCAUUUGAUUUUAUUUAUUCUAUCAUCAAUUAUUUCUAUUACAAAAAUAUGAGAGAGGGAAUAAAAUGACUUUUCCAAAAUAUAGAAAUAUUGAGGAUUUAAUAAAAAAUCAAAUAAGUUUUAUUUCGGAGUUUUUUGGUAUUUUUAUUUGAAUUUAGGAAAAAUGCGCGUUUUUCAAAUUGUAGUUUGGGCCCAGAUAAAUGUUCACUUUAUCGGGCUUGAUUUUAGGAACCCGGCAAAAUUUAUUUCGUGAUUUUUGGAGUCCGUUUAGUAUUUCUUUUUAUUUUUCUUCCGAGCGGAUUUAAAAAAAAACUAGAACCGACUCCGUGCCGUAACCGGCCAGGAAACCUCCGCCCGGGGCCUUUAUAUAGCGCCCGAACCGGCCGAGAGAGAGAGAGAGGCCCGAAGCCAGCUAACCCUAACCCUAGCUAAGCCGCCGCCGCCUCCCAGCCGUCGCCGCCCGCCGCUGCCGACUCGCCGGAGCGCGCGCCUUUCGAGGUUCGCCGCCGCCUCGUUUUCCGUGAAGUUUUUUUUUAAAAAAAAAAUCUGUUCGUCGUUUUUCUUUUUCGUCGGAUUUUCCGCGGUUAUUUUCUGAUCGCGAUUUCUGAUCCGGUUUUCGUUUUAGUAUAACUUUUCGCUCGUUUAUCGGAAUCAGGCGAUUCAAGCGCCUGGAGUUUCGUCUCGAAACCCUCUUUCCGAAUAAUCAACUUAAACAAGUUUUUGCUACUGUAAAAUUUGCCCUAGAUCCAGAUUACUAGAAGGAAGUUGUUUUUUUUGCCGUUUGAUUUCUUUCGCUUCGUUCGAUUUGAUUCUUUUGCCAACCAGGGUUCUUAAGUUGAACUUUCUGGUUAGAUCUUCUAUUUGAGUUUUACUUGUGCAUUAGAUGAGUACUUAUUGUAUGCUUGAUGUUUGUCUGUGAUAGAAUACCCGGAGUGCGCCGCCUGUUACUUCGAAUCUCUAGGUUUCGCGGAUCAUCAGCAAGGCAAGUAACACUUUGAUCAUACCUUUUCUACAACCCAGUUUUAUUGCAUUAGAUCAAUCCUCACACAUUGCAUGAUUAGGAUCUAAUUAAAUUGUGGGAUGGGAAGUAGAUGAGGUAGUACCUAUUACCUGUUUAUUAUCAAACCUUUGGGAGUUACUUCUACGUUUGCUUAUGCCAUGUUAUGCCGGUAGACGUGGAUUGGGUGAGUGAUAUCCAUGACAGAUGUGAGAUUUAUAAUUAAGGGUUAUCUAAGGUGGCAACCUAACACACAUCUGGGUGGAUUGAGGCACCUGGGGUUACCAGGACUUGCCUGUUUUCUUUUGGACCGCCACCCAGGCCCAAAGGGAUCAUGAGAUUUUUCAUACUAGAAACUUCCGUGUGCAGCCACAAGCCAUUAUGGGCUCUGGCAUAGUUGACUAAGUUGUGCGAACUCUUACAGUGGUAGACUAGCAGAUGUAGGGGAAAGUAGGUGUACCGGUCUACCCGUCGUAAGGUGCUAGCGCUUCUGAAAGACUGUGUCUCGGUCAUCCGUUUCUCAAACACCUUGUAGUGCGAGAAACCAAACGGAGGUGAUCGAGUCUUGUGGGGAAAAGUGCGCAAACCUCUGCAGAGUGUAACAAACUAAUCAUGGUUAGCCGUGUCCCUGAUUAUGGACAUCUUGAGUAUCUAUUACCUGGAUUAUCAUGUGAAUCUCAACAUGUUACUCUAAAAUUAAUUUUGUGGGAUUUUAAUGAUGUUACUUAAUUGGGAUUGAGGAUGCUGUCAACCAUUCUCAAUGUUUAACAACCACCAUGAUAGUAAUUAAUUUUAUUCCUUUGAAGUAGGGAAAAAUUGGCUUUACGCAAAAACUGUAACCAUAGAGCUUUCCACCAGCCAAAUAUGCAUAUAGUAUAGUUGUUGCAUUCCAUUACUCUCUAUGUGUUACCUUGCCAGCAUAUUCCAUGUGCUGACCCGUUUCGGGCUGCAACGUUAAUGUUGCAGACUUUUCAGAUGACGAUUGAGGAAUUUUAGGUCGUGGUUCUAUACUCAGUGAUGCCGUUGGAGUUGAUGGACUCACUUAUCUUCCAAGCCUUCCGCUGUUAUCGUUAUUAGAUGGCCUUAAGCCAUAUUUAUUGUAAUAAGUUCUCUUUUGAGACACUCGAUGUAAUAAGUGUGUGAUUGCUACUCUGCUAUAAAUCCUCCGAGUACUGUGUGGUGUCAGCAUUACUGAUCCAAGGAUGACAUCGGAGCACAGAGAUCAGACUGUUUAAGGUCUGGUCGCUACAUAUUCCAGUUGCAAUUGCUUGACCAUCUCAAUUUCCGAGUCACGGCUGGAAUGCACAGGACUGAGAUAGCCGGACAGCAUGUCACUAACAUUCAGAUGAGCAUAGUGAGAGAUAUCAAAUUGUACUUUCUGUCUUUCCAAGGCCUCCUGUUUAGCAGAAUGCCUGGCCAGCACAGUCGGAUUACCCGGCGCAACAAAUCUGCUGCCAGUGAUCAAAACGUCAUGGUCAGAAGAUGCUGGCAGGUUAGCUGAACCGGACGGUCUGACGGUGGAUGGAUCGACAAUGGUUUCGUCAGCUGACGGCUCAGGAGGGUCCAAUUGAGCAUGGACAGCUAAAUCUUCUGGCGCUUCAGAUUGAGUGGGAGGAGUUGAUGUUGCCAGUUCAGGUGCAGGAUUUUUUGGGUCCUCUGCCGGUUUAAUCACCUUGGCUUUCUUGGACUUUGCUUGACCGCUAAGAAAGAUUUUUAUGAAAUAGUUAGUAUAAUGAUGCAGUUUUAAAAAUGUAGAGGAAAGAUGAUUUUCCUUACCCAUGGGCAGUCUUGAAAGCCGGAAAUUGAGUUUGGGAUGAGUCGCCAGAAGAGCGAGAGACCUCCUGCAAAGGUAAAAUAAAGUUAAGAAUAUAAGGAAAUAAAUUCAUGGAUAAAAACAAAGGACAAAGGUGAAAGAAACCUCAUUCUGGCGUUUUUGAGGAGUUUUUUCUAAGUCGAAAGGUGGUUCAUCAUCAUCAUUAGUCCGGGCCAGAUGGCGGCUCUCAUGUUGCUGCUUUUUCAAAAGAAAAUGAGGGUCCAAAUAAGCCAAAGGGUGCAAAAACCUUACUUUCCGGGUUACCAGUCGAAGUUUCUGUCUCGGCAAAGGGGCUGAGUCGUAGGAAAUAGUUACCUCUUCUUCCGCGGCCUGGCUGGCCCCCGUGUCAUCCUGGCAAUAGUCAGUGUCAAUAAGAUAGUUGAAAAUUUGGCCAAGGGAGAAAGGGCUACCUCCGACUCAGAAACAUCAUCAAGCUGGAAGAUGUCAGAUGCAGUCUUCUUCUUGGGCUUCCGGGUCGUUCUCUUGGCGGCUACGGCAGCGGAUCUAGCCUUCUUGGUAGCUUCAUGAUCAUACUUGGCCUUCCAGAAGUCAGAUUUGUCCUGUAAACAAAUAAAGAGGUUAAAAGGUCAUGCAAGUAUUUAAACUACUGAGGUAAACACAAAAAGAGAAAAAGGUCAAGAAGUUACCUCUGGUGUCGGGUUAAGUUUGCAGAAGGGGUUUAAUCCAACCUUGCUGUAGUCCUCGUAUUUGCCAUUCACGAGGAUGGUAGACAUUGCAACAAUGUCUUCUUCAGUUAAUUGUACAGAGCUAUAACGCAGAGAAUCAUUUGGGCCUCCGCCAUACUUAUACAUCAACUUGGAUCGGCGGCUUAGAGGGAUGACCCGCCAUGAGAUCCAGCAAUGGAUCAGGUCAACUCCGGUUAAGCCAUUUCCCAAUAAAGCUUGAAUCCUUUUGACAGAUGGGAUAAGCUUCUUGCGUUCAGCAGUAGUAAGCUUGUCAGGGAGCACAAACUUGGAAUCAAGACGCUCUUCACGAUAACCCGGCAGUGGUUUUUCAUCAGCCGGUGAUGUAUCUUGGCAGUAGAACCAGGUUUGCUUCCAGUCUUUGGGAUGGCUCGGUAAGACCACUAAAGGAAAAACGGCACCUUGUCAGCGUUGAAUUGAAAUUCUGCCAAGUUCCAAGCUAAGGCCGUUGGUGCACUCAUUCUGGCGGUUCAAGUAAAAGUACUCUCUAAAGAGCUCCACAGUUGGUUCUUCUUGAAGAUAUACCUCACAAAGAACUUGAAAAUUGCAGAUGUUGGAUAUAGGGUUGGGUCCAAUAUCUUGUGGAUGAAGCUUGAAAAAAUGCAGGACAUCUUGGACGAACUUUGAGCCGGGUGGUGAGAAGCCCCGGUUCAUGUGAUCUGUGAAAACGAUAACUUCGCCGUCUUUGGACUAAGGUCGUUCUUCGUCCGGGUCAGGAGCACGAUAAGACAUAACGCUUUUCUCUGGCAAAAAUCCAAUGGUGACAAAUUAUUUCAAGGUAUCUUCAGUAACUGUGGAAGGCACCCGGUUGCAGACAGUUGGCGCUUUUGACGGCAUGAUGAAGAAAGGGCAAGCUGAAAAGAAAGUAAUUUGCCGGUUCAAUUUAUUGGUGGAGUUACAGGUUCAUGAUUAUAGUACAGAUGAGUAAUGGCGGCUUAAGUAAGGGCUAAUGACAUGUAAAGGAAAAAUAAGCCGGAGUCAUAAGCCGCCAUGACUAAAAAGUAUUUGAAGGUUGCCAGAAUCAAAAUUGACUAAAGUGUUGAGACAAACAGGUUUCCCAAGUUGUGGCUAUUAUUAUGGAUCAAAAUGGUUCAGAAAAUAAAAAUAAAGUUAGACCUAGAAAACGAGCACAGAGGAGUUUGUCAGCUCUAAAGAGGCAUUUAUACAGGAGAAGGGGAUCUGUUAGCUUCAAAAAUGGAUGAGAAAUAGCUACCUCAUAAGUUUUGUACUACUUUUAGAUCAAAAGAGGGUGCGGUAAGAGAAGUUGCAACGAAUCUAUGACGAACAACGAAGAACACAAGAAGGAAACCUCCCGAACCCUAAUGCAGAUCUAUGGGGGUGAGAAGGUGAGAGCUUACAGGUGCGGAGCUGCUGCGGAGGAUCGCCACCGUUCUCUGGAUAGACUCAGGGUGAUGCUGCGGCCAGAGUUGAGGACGACGGUGCGCUACGGUGGCGACGGAGCUCGAGCGGCAAAGAAGGUGCGAGAGGAAGAAGAAAGAGGAAGGACUGGCCGAGCCUAUUUAUAAGGGGGUAAGUGAACGGGCAGACGCAAAAAUUGAGGAAGACCAAAGUAAUGAUUAUCCAGCUAAAUGGACGCCUCGAUCUUCGGAAAACAUUUAAGAUAAGGAUCCGUUGAAGAUGAAAUCGUGGUGUUUUUCCAAAUUUUUUCAAUCCUAAUGGUUGGUUAAUAAAAUAAGCUCAGUGAAUAUACAAGGCGAUAGUUUAUUAUAAGACUUGUAGUAGGCCCAAGCCCAAAGGCGGUUUAAGGCCCAUAAUUGUAAACCGCCAUGUAUAAGAAAGACUUGUAAAGAAAGGCAUGUAAGAGAAGUCACCGAGCCGAACACGUUAUAUGAGCCGGCCGGGACUCUGUAGGCUGCCAGGCGUCAACCCAUGUAUAUAAGGGGAUGACCCGGUGGCUGCUUAGGACAAGUAACAUCAAAUCAAGAGCCAUGCAUAGCGUAUUUGCUCCCUGAUCAUCGAAACCUAGCAAUAUCACAUCAACUGGACUAGGCUUUACCUUCACCGUAAGGGGCCGAACCAGUAUAAACCUUUCGUGUCCUUUGUCCCGAUUAACCCCUUUAAGCUUCCUAGUUGCGAUGGCUCCACGGCUAAGUCCUUUCACUAGGACAUCAUCCGUGACAAUUCCACGACAACUCUGGUGCGGAUCUUACUAUGGUUGACCUACGAGGUUCAGCGGUAACUUGAUCUGAAGUUUCAUGAUCAUCAUCAUUAGCUUCCUCACUAAUUGGUGUAGGAAUCACUGGAACUAAUUUCUGUGAUGAACUACUUACCAAUUCGGGAGCAGGUACAAUUGCCUCAUCAAGUUCUACUUUCCUCCCACUCACUUCUUUCGAGAGAAAGUCCUUCUCUAGAAAGGAUCCUUUCUUAGCAACGAAUAUAUUGCCUUCGGAUCUGUGAUAGAAGGUGUACCCAACAGUCUCCUUUGGGUAUCCUAUGAAGACACAUUUCUAUGAUUUGGGUUCGAGCUUAUCAGGUUGAAGCUUUUUCACAUAAGCAUCACAGCCCCAAACUUUAAGAAACGACAACUUAGGUUUCUUGCCAAACCACAGUUCAUAUGGUAUCAUCUCAACGGAUUUAGAUGGUGCCCUAUUUAAAGUGAAUGCAGUCUGAAAGUGCGUUAUAUCGACUAGAGGGGGGGUGAAUAGGCGAUUUUUAUGAAAGUCUUCAAAACAUGGAAGUUUCGAAGACAAACGAUAGAAAUAAACCUAUUACCAUGCAGUGGAAGUUAGACUACACUAGAUAAACCGUAGUCAUGUAUUCAAUGAAGUGAAAGGACAAUGACUAAUAGUAGCUAGGUAGUAAGGAUCAGGCAGGAAGAUAUUAAGAAGCCAAACGGAUCACACAGUCACUCAGUGAAGACAAAAGAUAGAGAAAACAUACAAUGACUUCACACAGAGUAACAGUAAGUAAAGAGAAGGGAAGGAUGAAACCAGUGACUCGUUGAAGACAAAGAUUUGUUGGACCAGUUCCAGUUGCUGUGACAACUGUACGUCUGGUUAGGGCGGCUAGGUAUUUAAACCAAAGGACACACAGUCCCGGACACCCAGUCCUGAACACGCAGCUCAGGACAUCCAGUCCUCACCGUAUUCCCCUUGAGCUAAGGUCACACAGACCUCGCCCAAUCACUCUGGUAAGUCUUCAAGGUAGACUCCCAAACCUUCACAGACUUCGUUCACCGGCAAUCCACAAUGUCUCUUGGAUGCUCAGAACGCGAUGCCUAACCAGCUGGAGGAUGCACAGUCCUCAAGUGUAAUAAGUCUUCAGAUCACUCAGACAAGAAGACUUAAGUGAUGCCUAAUUCUCUUUCGCUCUGGGUGGUUAGGGCUUUAUCCUCGCAAGGAAUUCUCUCUCAAAGGCUUCGAGGUGGGUUGCUCUCAAACGACAAAAGCCGUACUUUGAAUCUGAGUAGCCAACCGUUUAUGGUUGUAGGGGGUGGGCUAUUUAUAGCCACUAGGCAACCCGACCUGAUUUGUCCGAAAUGACCCUGGGUCACUAAGGAACUAACAUGUGUUCCAACGGUCAAAUUUCAAACUCACACGGAAACUUUACUUGGGCUACAAGCAAAGCUGACUUGUCCGACUCUGGACAAGAUUUUCUCUCAUAGUCUUCACUCGAAGACAUAGGUUUUUGUUUAAGCAUCACUUUAGUCAUUCUGACUGGCUCUCUUGGACCCCACUUAACAGUAUGUUGGUUCCUAUGACUCAACACAGAAGAAAAAGAACUACGAAAAAUCUAAGUGUUCAAGCUCCAUAGGCUUCAUGCGGUGUCUUCUCUUGUCAUAGUCUUCAAUGUGAAUAUCUUCAUAUACCACCUUUGACAUCAAUGUCUUCAUACACUUUUAGGGGUCAUCUCUGGUGGGAAAACCGAAUCAAUGAGGUACUUCUACCUGUGUUAUCCUGCAAUUCUCACAAACACAUUAGUCCCUCAACUAGGUUUGUCGUCAAUACUCCAAAACCAACUAGGGGUGGCACUAGAUGCACUUACAAUCUCCCCCCUUUUGGUGAUUGAUGACAAACUAGUUGAAGUUUUCAACGGGGAAUAUAAUGUGUGAAAUUGUAAAGGAUAAGGAAUUGUCUUCAUAAGUUACAAGGGCUCCCCCUGAAGAUGUGCAUAUAAGUAAUUUGCUUUUGGAAUGCAAAUGCACAUGGCAGGUUGUGCUUGUGGAGAUCCACUUCAACUUAUGAUGACAAUCCACUAUGCAUGUGAAAGUAUGUGAAGAUAAUGACAUGCAUAAUGGAAAAUGGAUGUCUGCAGAAUGAUCUAAGUGCGGAAUCUAUCAUCGCACAUGCGGAAUUUAUCAUCACAACACAAGGUAGCAAAUAGGUAGCAGACGACCAUCAAGUUUAAGUGUUACAACUCAAAGAACCAAAUGUUUCAAAACGAGAGUUGUAAGCACGAAGCAAAAUAUAAAACACCCGCCCAUAUGGACCCAUUUGAAGACUAUCAAACUCAUAUGCUUCUCCCCCUUUUGACAGUAAGGACCAAAAAGGUUUGAAGACAUAGAGCCUCUACUCGUUCCCAUGAGGAGUAGGUGAAGCAGCAGGAUCGUUGAUGGUGUUUGGCAGUGCAGACGAGCUUGGAGCAGUGUCGACGUGUGCUGAAGGAGGCGGCGAAGAAGUAGCAUCGUCUUCAUCCUCGAUCACUCUGGCAUUCACGGUUGCAGUAGAGGAAGAGAACUCAGGGUCUUCAAGUGAUGGAGUUCGUCGCAGCACAGCCCUGCGAGGAGGUGUGGAGUCAAACUUGAAGCGCUCAGUGAAGCCAUCCUCUUGCAGAUCAUCUUCAGAACACAGCAGCGUCAGCCCUUUCCAUGUGCGUCGAGAUGUUUCAUGAGCAACAAAGGCGUUCUUGGUGGCAAGAUUGUGAAUGCGAUUAACAUCCACCAAGAGGCUUUGCAUUUGACGCUUUAGCCAGUCAUGAUGCCUAUCCUGUUUCUGAUGAAGGGCCACCAGAAGCUCUCGGUCAUUGAGGACACGAGUGCGCUUCUUGGGUCGUUGAGCAAUGGUGCUAUCAGUGGCUUCAGUAAGAGCAGGAUGCGGGGCACGGGUAGUGCCAGCCAAAGGAUACACACGUGUUACUGCUUCAAUGCCUUCAACGUUCCGAGAGAAACUUUGAUGCUCUGCAUUCUGAAGACUUAGAGGUUCCUUGGCAGGCUCAGGAUAUAUGGCUUCAAUAGACAUAUCCACAUCAGGCAAAAAGAUCCGAUGAUUGCGGGCAGAUGGCUGAUAUGAGAUAGCAGAGUGAAGUUUGAUCAGCCGCAUCACCCAAGGGGCGUAGAACUUCAACCCAAAUAGAUCAGAGCCAGAUGCAGCAAGUUGGCGAAUGAAGAAAUCCUAUGUAUUGAAGCAUUUUCCAUGAAGAAUAUAGAAGACCAAAGUCUUCAUUGCACCUUCCAGCUGGGCAUGGGGAGAAUGUCCUUUGAUUGGCCAGAGAGUUCGCCUUAUGAUAUGAUAAAUGGUCCUUGGCAGAUACUCAAGGUCUUCAACAAAGAACUCCGUGGGAUAAGCAGCAUCUUGGGGCAAUGGCUUCAUCAUACUGAGCAUCUGACUCAUAUUGGGUUCAGUCUUCUGAAAGAUGCUCUCAACAGCUUCAAUGUGAAGCUGACAGCCAUGCUCAUAGAGAUCGCCAGGAGUGGGCAAGCCAGUGAGCUCAAUGAUGUCAAAGACUUUGGCUUCGUGAUGAACAUUUCCAGUCAUCCACUCUAGGACCCAAGUCUUUGGAUCUCUGUUAUACCCGCGGAUGUGAAGUGUGGCAUAGAACUGGAGCAGCAACUCUUCAUUCCAAUGCUCUUGGUCAGUGACGAAUGGUAGCAGCCCAACUUCAUUGAAGCAAUCCAAAGCUUCUUCCAGACAGGCAGACCAGCUAUAGCUUCAAUGUCAAGGCGCUUGUGUGGGAAGAUGCGACCUUUGUUGUAAAGAAUGCAUGAGUAAUAGCUUCGCUGCUGAUAGCUCCAGAACCGAUCAGAUGAUAUUCUUUCCCUGGAGUAGGGGUUCCUGGAGCUAUUGAAGAAUGUGUUGUCUGCUCUGAAGCCAUUGAUGUUAAAGGAGCCAGGUGCUAAUGCAGGACCUGGGAACCUGGGCAAUCUUGGGAUUGGCUUCUGGACCUGAGGCCUGUGCUCAACAUGAUAGUCGAAUUGGGGACCGGCAGCAGACGCAGGAACAGGAGCAGCAGGAUUAGUGGCUUCGCUGACUUCUGGUGCUGUUGGGGGUGAGGGCUCCACAUUAGCUUCAGCCAUGACGGUGUCAGUGGCUUCAGUGGUGUUGGUGGUGGCAGCCUCUAGAUUUUCAACCUCCACUUGACGAGCUGGAGGGUCGGUCAUGAUCACGUUCUCCUCGAGAACCGCUUCUUGGUGGGGCAGGGGAGUAGCAGCUUGUGGAACUUCUUCUUCCGUGGCUGAUGCAGCUAGAUUGUCUUCAGCAGAGACUUGAGGCCUUGGACCUUUGUGAAGCCUGCGCAACGCGGGCGAUGCCUGUGGAGCUGGAGUGGGCUGGGCCUCAUAGUCUUCUUCCUCUUGUUGGCGAUCCGCCCAUGAAGCAUCCUGUGCCAUUGGCGUCAGUGGACGACCAAUGCUGAUGAGUUCGUUGUUUUCAAGCUGAGGAAGAACUGCACCAUCUUCUACAUGGUCAUGUUGACCAAUGUCUUCAGCAGUGAUGGGAUCAGCUGUUGGAAAGUCUUUAGCUUUAUGAGCCUCUGUGGAAGCAGGCUCAUGGAUUGUCAGUUGGCGUUCAGCUUCAGGAUAGACCAUUGAAAUAGGUUCAACUAUCAAAGGCUCUGUGGGAGCAGCCUGUUCCUUCUUGGUCUUUCGUUUCUUCUUGGAGGGGGCAGUAGGAGAGGCUUCAGGAUGUUUCCUCUUCCUGGCUUCAGCCUCAGCAGUCCUUGUCUUCUUGAGCUCUGAAGCGGUUGACCGGCUUUUUGGCUUCAAGCCAGUCAGUCUAGUUGGGAAGACAAUCGGAACUGCUUCCUGCCUUGGUGCGUCGGAUUCAGCCGUAGCAGUCUUCUUCUUCUUCUUUGCGGCCAUCCUAGGGUCAAUGCCAGGACGCCCAAGGGCCUUGCGCUUCUCAGCCUCAUUGUAGGCUUGCACACAUCUGUCAGCCAGAGCCUUCAUGCGCUCACGUGAAUCCCGAGCUUCUGCACAUUUCUUCAGAAAGGCUUCCUUGAGCUCGUGCAUCAUGAUCUUGAAGUUCUUCACUUCUUGCACACUGAGCUUGGCCAUAUGCUUCUUGAACUGAGCCUUUUCAUAGUCAAUCUUCUGCUUUAGUUCAACAACGUGUCGGGCGAUGGCUAGCUCUGAAGCAAUGGCGCCUUGGAAGGCGACACUGAGGCCAAUGGGUAGCUGCAGAUCAUCAAAGCUGAUGUUUGGCAUAUCAAACCACUCGUCAAUGAAGUUGUGGAUGAUGGUUACAUCAAAGAGAGGCAGAUCAUUGAAGAUUUCGGCUUCUUCUUUGCUCUUGAUGAGUUGCUCAAGAGCGUCAUCUGCAAGAUCUUCAUCACUUGACAGAUCAAUGUCAUCAUUGCGCAGAAUGGCAGCAGCUGUUAGCUCUUGGCCGGUGUGUGGCAGAGGCAUCUUGGCCUUCUAGGGCUUGGAGAUGCGUGAUAAAUCUUCGGACUGCACACUGUCUUCAGGAGAUGCAGUUGCCAGUGGCUUCGCCCUUGAGAUUUUUGGUGAAGGGGCAGGCUUUGAAGCUUUGGGCUUCUUCAACUUCUUUGGUGUUGGCGCUGCAGGCGCUUCAUCUGAUUCAGCGUUAGCUGCAGGCUCAUUCACGGUUGUCCCUUGAACCAAGAUAUGGGUGAUGAGUCCUGCAAGGUUGUAGAAAGGACCGACGACAUUGGGUUCCGCAUCGCGUGUGCCGUCAGCCCUUGGAGCAGAAGGACCAGGGUUGAAGUCUAAUCCAAAAGACUUCUUGUUCUGCUUUGCUGAGUUCUUGGCAAACUGGAAGUUGCGCUUGAAUAGAUUGUCGUCACGGCACCAUAGUAGUGACGAUGGGUGUGCAUCUGCAGGCUGUGGCCCACGCACCAUGCAGGGAUAGAAGCCUUGUUCAAUGGCUUCUUCUCUGGACCUGGGUUGAAGAUUCUUGUAUAGGAUGUCUCCCCAUGGUCUCUUGAUGGCAUUUCUCUCAGCAUAUUCCUGGGUCACAAACCGGUAUUUGAACCAUUGUUCUGCCCAAUAUCUUCGAAUCCAUUGGAUUCGGGUCUUGCGCUGAUUAUAAUCCUGUUCAGGAUCUGUCUUGUAAAGCUCUGAGAGGUCAUCAGGAAAAUCUCUUGAUGUCCCCCCACGACGCUGUCUGCCACCCUUCCUUACUGAUUUCUCUGCAGCCAUGAACUUCAAACUGAAAGGCUUCAAAACGUUCAAAGGCUUCAAAGGUUUUCGCUUGCUGGACAAACAGGAACUGGCUUCGGGAGAAUUUAUAUGAUGCUGUAAGAAUUCUGCAAAUGAAUGCAGACUAUGAGAACCAAGGGAUUCUCCCAUGGACAUGUACCUGUGACAACAUUAAGGUGCAAGGGAAGGGGAAGAGGUCAUAUGCAUUCUCAGGAGAUUUUGAAGAUAAAUCAGUUUAGAAGACAUUGACCUCAUCGUGCGAAGACAUUCACUCAUAGAUAAGGAGUUGGUUCCAGAUUUGUACGAAUCCAGUGAUCAGUACAAGUGAGGAAUCUAACUACUUGUGAAGCAUAAGUGAAUAUACUAGGCAUGUUAUGAGAUGCAGUAGGAAAGAGAUCCAACUUGUGUGAAUAGAAACUUCUUAUGGUAGAAAGUGACAAAGCCAUAGGAUCAAAAGGGGCCGUAAAAAGAAGUUUUAUUUACCACACUUGGAACUGCUAGAUGGAGUGGAAGAGGAGGCCGAGCAGUUCGAUCUUCUGUGCCCUAACUUGGCGACGAAGGACACCUACGGCGACGGCGGAGAGGACGAUGUCCGCGGUCGGUGUGAAGACGGCGUCGGAGAGGUUGCGGCAGUGAAGCGCUUCGUCGCCGGCGUCGUCGAGGGCUAGCAGUGGCACUAGGGUUCGUGCGAGGGUGGAAGAAGAGAUGAUGACCGCUGUGAAGGGUGUAUUUAUAGGUACAGGGGCGGCACUGCGUUAUUACACAGGUGCCCCUGGCGAUUCACAUCUGAGGAACACGUGGCCAUCAUGCAGUAUAUUGGGGUUUGUUCCACGUCUCACGCACGCCUAGAUUGUCGGGUGGUCGUUCCUACUUCUCCGGGUUUCAUGUGGAGGAAUGGGCAUUGAAAACGGACUUAAUGUUUGUCUCUGUAUGUUCUGCUGACAAGGACGCAGAGAAGACAUUCGACAGUUUCAAUAGAAUGCAUAUGAUUUGGAGAGAUAGAGUUUGAGAUAGAGAGCACAGAGAGGUUAGGGUCCGAUCACAUUCACUUAGAUCAAAAGAUUCAACAAGAAGACAUAGCUAUAAGUGAAUACUGUAGAGGACAGAACACUAGUAUAUAUAUAUAUAUAUAAUCAACAUAGUGAAGAUAAUCAUGAAAACAUGUUGAGAUUGAAACCAAACCAAAUGUGAAGUCAUAGCAAGGUAAUGCCAUGAGUGAAACACUUCAAAUAGAACAUUUGGUGGUGGCGUUACCCACCGUAUAGGAAGUAUUAGACCCAGACACGGCGCACAAUUAUCGUGGCGCUCCGAAGUCAAAUUCCACAUUAAUGUAUUCACACUUAGAAUGUAUGUCUUCAUUGAUUGAAGAUAUACUUUACUUCGUGUGUUGCACAUCUAAGUCAUCAAUAUGCAUAAGGGUUAGGAUGUGUGCCUGAUCACAGGACAUUUGAGGAUUCCAGGAUAUUUAGCUCACAUCGUAACUUGCAAAAUCUCUUCUCAUCCAAGGGCUUGGUGAAGAUAUCUGCCAAUUGCUCUUCAGUGUUGACGUGUAUGAUAUCAAUAUCUUCCUUCACAACAUGAUCUCUGAGAAAGUGAUGACGAAUUUCAAUGUGCUUUGUCUUCGAGUGCUGAACAGGGUUGUUGGCAAUCUUGAUGGCGCUUUCGUUGUCACAGUAGAGUGGCACUUGCUUCAGAUGAAUGCCAUAGUCCUUGAGGGUUUGCUUCAUCCACAGAAGCUGAGCGCAGCAAGAUCCAGCAGCAAUGUAUUCAGAUUCAGCAGUGGAGAGAGAUACACAGUUCUGCUUCUUUGAAGACCAACAUACAGGUGAUCGUCCCAGAAAAUGACAUGUGCCUGAUGUAGACUUGCGAUCCACCUUGUCACCAGCAUAAUCAGCAUCCGAGAAUCCAACCAGAUCAAACUCUGAGCCCUUUGGAUACCAUAAUCCUAGAGUUGGGGUGUGAGCCAAAUAUCGAAGAAUUCGCUUCACAGCUAGGUGAUGCGACUCCUUUGGUGCCGCUUGAAAUCGAGCACACAUGCAAACACUAAGCAUAAUAUCUGGCCUAGAUGCACAUAGAUAAAGCAAAGAACCAAUCAUGGAGCGGUAUACCUUUUGAUCGAACUCUUUACCAUUGUCGUCAGGACCCAGAUGAUGCUUGGCUGGUAUUGGCGUCGUGAACCCUUUGCAGUCUUGCAUACCGAACUUCUUAAGGCAAUCCUUGAGAUGCUUCUCUUGAGAUAUGAAGAUGCCGUUGCGUUGCUGUCGUAUUUGAAUACCGAGGAAAAACUUCAGCUCUCCAUCAUGGACAUCUGAUAUUGCUCUUGCAUCAUAUAUCCAAACUCUUCACUGUACUUCUGAUUGGUGCAGCCGAAGAUAAUGUCAUCCACAUAUAUUUGGCACACAAACAGUUAACCAUCAUAUGUCUUCGUGAAGAGAGUGGGGUCGAGGGAACCAGGUAUGAAGCCUUUGCUCUUCAGGAAGUAUUUGAGUGUGUCAUACCAGGCCCGAGGGGCUUGUUUGAGGCCAUAUAGUGCCUUGUUGAGCUUGUAUACCGUAUCAGGAUGUUUUAGAUCUUCAGAGCCAGGUGGUUGUGCAACAUACACUUCUUCUUCAAUCUUUCCAUUGAGAAAGGCGCUCUUCACAUCCAUUUGAUAAAGAAGUAUGUUGUGAUGAUUUGCAUAGGCCAGCAGUAUGCGUAUGGCUUCAAGUCUAGCCACAGGAGCAAAUGUUUCAUUGAAGUCAAUGCCUUCCACUUGAGUAUAUCCUUGAGCAACUAGACGAGCUUUGUUUCUGACAACUUGACCAUGCUCAUCUUGCUUGUUGCGGUAUAUCCAUUUUGUGCCUAUUAUGUUGUGCUUCCGAGGAUCAGGACGCUUAACCAGUUCCCAUACAUUAUUCAGCUCAAACCGUUGAAGCUCUUCUUGCAUAGCUUGAAUCCAUUCAGGUUCCAUGAAGGCUUCUUCCACUUUCUUGGGUUCUGUUAUUGAGACGAAUGCGAAGUGCCCACAGAAAUUUGCCAGCUGGGUUGCCCUUGAUCGACUGAGCGGACCAGGUGCAUUGAUGCUGUCAAUUAUUCUCUCAAUUUGCACUUCAUUGGCAACACGAGGAUGUACAGGGCGAAGACUUUGCUCUUGCUGAUCAUUGUCGUUGUUGGAGGGAUUGUCUUCAGGUUGAGCAUUGUCUUCAGGUUGAUCUGGUGCAGAGAUGAUGAGUUCCUCUUCAGGAUGAGCUUUAGAAGGUAUGAUUUCUCCAGUUCCCAUUAGCUUGAUUGAUUCACUGGAUGGAACUUCAUCUAGCACAUUUGGCAGGUGCUCUCUUUGUGAACCGUUAGUCUCAUCGAACCGCACAUCCACGGUUUCAACCACUUUAUAAUGAAAGAGGUUGAAGACUCUGUAGGAGUGCGAAUCCUUUCCAUAUCCAAGCAUAAAACCCUCAUGUGCUUUUGGGGCAAACUUUGAAGUGUGAUGUGGGUCCUUGAUCCAGCACCUUGCGCCAAAUACUCUGAAGUAACUGGCAUUUGGCUUCUUGCCAGUGAGGAGCUCAUACGAUGUCUUGUUCAGAAGCUUGUGAAGAUAAACACGAUUGAUUGUAUGGCAUGCAGUAUCAAUGGCUUCAGGCCAGAAUUUUCUUGGAGUCUUGUAUUCAUCUAGCAUUGUUCUGGCCAUCUCAAUGAGUGUUCUGUUCUUGCAUUCGACGACGCCAUUCUGCUGUGGCGUGUACGGGGCUGAGAAUUCAUGUGUGAUGCCCAAGGUAUCAAGAUAUGUAUCAAGGCCAGUGUUCUUGAAUUCAGUGCCAUUGUCACUUUUGAUGUGCUUUAUCUUGGCACCAUAGUUGUUCAUUGCUCGAUUGGCGAAGCGUUUGAAGACAUCCUGCACUUCAGUCUUGUAAAGGAUUAUAUGCACCCAAGUGUAUCUAGAAUAAUCAUCAAUAAUGAAGAAGCCAUAGAGACAAGCAGUAGUAGUAAGAGUUGAGUAAUGAGUGGGACCGAAAAGAUCCAUGUGAAGCAGCUCGAAGGGUCGAGUAGUAGUCAUGAUUGUCUUCGAGGGAUGCUUGGCCCUCGUCAUCUUUCCUGCUUCACAGGCACCGCAUAAGUGAUCUUUCUUGAACUUGACGCCCUCAAUGCCUAUGACAUGCUUCUUCUUUGCCAGGGUGUGGAGGUUCCUCAUGCCAGCAUGCCCAAGCCUCCGAUGCCAGAGCCAGCAUUCUGAAGCUUUUGCUAGAAGACAUACGGCAAGUUGUGGUCCUGCUGAGAAAUCUACCACGUACAGAUCGUCUUUCCGAUACCCUUCAAACACUAGAGACUUGUCAGAUUCCAUUAGAACAAGGCAACAAUAUUUUCCAAAUAUUACGAUCAUGUUCAAAUCGCAUAGCAUUGAGACAGACAUUAAGUUGAAGCCAAGGGAUUCAACAAGCAUGACUUUAUCCAUGUGUUGAUCCUUUGAGAUUGCAACUCUACCUAGACCCAAUACCUUACUUUUACCAGUGUCAGCAAAUGUGAUGUGGCUCUUGUCGGAAGGACGUAAGGUUGAGUCCAUCAGAAGGCUUCUUUUGCCAGUCAUGUGAUUUGUACACCCACUAUCAGUAAUCCAUUCUGUAUACGCUGGUGUCGUACCCUACAGUGCAGUUAGGGGGAUAGGCUUCACGAAGAGAGUUGUGAAGCAAAAACAUUUGACGAACCAGUGGGUUAUGAAAGCUUAGAUCCAGAUUAGUACUGAUAGGGAGAGUAGCAAGCGAUUCAGGAACGAAGUACAUAGUAAGACCAUUCGGCAUUUGAUCUUGCGCCCUACAAGAUGUUUAAGGUCCCCAGCGAUAGCGUCAGAAGAUUUUGGUUUUCUGCUGGAGACCUUUCCCUGCAAAAGAGAGUUAAGCCUUCUUAACAACCCACAUCUUCAAGGGUGGCUUAGAAGCGAUAAGUCUAAGUGCAGAGUCUGAAAACUUUGGCUUUGGGGCUCUAGCAAAAAGUCUUGCAGGUGGACAAUAAUACUCAUAAGAAUAAGCAGAAUAGUUUUUGGUCUUAUGAACAUGGCGGUUCGAUGAACCGCGCUCAUAUUCAUAGGCCUGAGUAUGGUUUCCCUGCAAAACAUUUGCAUUAGUCCGACUCAGGUGAGUCCUCUGUCUGUAUGAAGCCUUUGGGCCAUAUGAAGCCUGUGGUCUGGGGUUUGUCUUCUUCAUCUAUGGUGUCAUGAUGACAUUCACAGGAAGAUUUUCCAAACACCUUUUGGGCACCCAGACCUUCUUCAUAGGCGGUCCAUUCCUGCAGUUAGUACCAAUGUACCUGGCAAAAACUUCACCAUUCUGAUUCUUAAAUAGUUUAUAGUUUGCAUCAAAGGAUUCAUCAAUGACAAUGGGGUUAGCACAAGUGAAGCCAGAUAGACUGGAUGGAUUUGCUGAAGGUUCCUUUGCAGCAACCCAUGUGGUUUUGGGAUACUGCUCGGGUUUCUAGUAAGAGCCAUCAGCAUUCAUUUUCCUUAUGAACCCAACACCCUCUUUCCUCGGGUUUCGGUUCAGAAUCUGCCUUUUGAGGACAUCACAUAGUGUCUGAUGCCCUUUAAGACUUUUGUACAUCCCUGUUUCAAGCAAUGUCUUCAACCUAGCAUUCUCAUCAGCAAUCGCAGUAGUAUCCUCAGUAGAGGGGUUAGUUACCACAUCAACAGUUGAAGAUAUUGCAACAGUAGCAGUAGUAGAACAUUCAGCAACAGAAGCAGCAUUAUCACGCUCAAUGCAUUUAAGACAUGGUGGUUCAAAUCCUUCCUGAGCGGAACUGAUCUGUUCGGCGCGAAGUGACUCGUUUUCCUUUUGAAGAUCUUCAUGAGCCGCUCUCAAUUUCUCAAGAUCUUGCUUCCUUUGAAGAUAAUCAUAGGAAAGCUUUUCAUGAGUUGUUGAGAGCGUUUCAUGACAACUUUCAAGUUCCUCAUAUUUAACGUGAAGAUUUUUUAUGUCUUGAAUUAAGGAUUCAGAUCGAGUCAUUUCAACGCCCAACAAAUCAUCGCUUUUGUCUAACAGUUUUUGAAUAUGUUCCAUGGCUUUCUGUUGUUCAGUUGCAAUUUUAGCAAGUGUUUUGUAGCUGGGUCUUGAAUCACAAUCAGAGUCAUCAUCACUAGAUGUUUGAUAGUGAGUAGUGCGUGUGUUUACCUUGGCACCGUGUGCCAUGAAGCAGUAGGUAGGAGCAGAGUCGUCCUUGUCAUUUGCAUCGGCGUCGGUGGUGAAGUCAUUGUCUUCAGUGUUGAAGAUGGACUUGGCAACGUAUGCUGUAGCCAGACUUGCAACACCAGAAUCGGACUCCUCCUCAGACUCCACCUCCGCCUCCUCAGACGCGGACUCCUCCUCUGAAUCCAUUUCCUUGCCAACAAACGCACGUGCCUUGCCAGAUGAGCUCUUCUUGUGUGAUGAAGACUUUGAGGAAGACUUGGAAGAAGACUUUGAGUAUUUCUUCUUCUUCUUGUCGUCAGAGUCAUAUUCCUUGCUCUUCUUCUUCUUUCUAUUCUCAUUGUCCCACUGCGGACACUCAGAGAUGAAGUGGCUAGUUUUCUUGCACUUGUGACAUGUUUUCUUCUUGUAGUCAUGAGCAGAAGCUUCAUCAUUCCUUGAGCUUGAUCGUGAAGACUUUCUGAAGCCUUUCUUCUUGGGGAAUCUUUGGAACUUCUUUACAAGCAUAGCAAGUUCCUUUCCAAUGUCUUCAGGAUCGUCAGAACUGCUGUCAGAUUCUUCUUCAGAUGAGGAGACAACUUUUGCCUUCAGGGCACGAGUUCGCCCAUAGUUUGGACCGUAGAUAUCUCUUUUCUCAGAAAGCUGAAACUCAUGUGUGUUGAGCCUCUCAAGUAUGUCGGACGGAUCGAGUAUCUUGAAAUCAGGUCGUUCUUGAAUCAUCAGGGCUAGGGUGUCAAACAAACUGUCAAGUGAUCUCAGUAGUGUCUUGACGACUUCAUGCUUGGUGAUCUCAGUGGCGCCGAGCGCUUGAAGCUCAUUUGUGAUGUCAGUGAGUCGGUCAAAUGUGAGCUGGACAUUCUCAUUGUCAUUUCGCUUGAAGCGGUUAAAGAGGUUGCGAAGAACGCUGAUUCUCUGAUCUCUCUGGGUUGAGACGCCUUCGUUGACCUUGGAGAGCUAGUCCCAGACCAGCUUCGAUGUUUCCAAAGUGCUCACACGGCCAUACUGUCCUUUGGUCAGAUGACCACAGAUAAUGUUCUUGGCAGUAGAGUCCAGUUGAACGAACUUCUUGACAUCAGCAACAGUGACACCUUCUCCAGCCUUGGGAACGCCGUUCUUGACGACAUACCAUAGGUCGACGUCAAUGGCUUCAAGAUGCAUGCGCAUCUUAUUCUUCCAGUAGGGAUAUUCAGUUCCAUCGAAGACGGGGCACGCAACGGAGACUUUAAUUAUCCCUGCAGUCGACAUAGCUAAAACUCCAGGUGGUUAAACCGAAUCACACAGAACAAGGGAGCACCUUGCUCUCAUACCAAUUGAAAGUGCAUUAUAUCGACUAGAGGGGGUGACUAGGCGAUUUUUAUGAAAGUCUUAAAAACAUGGAAGUUUCGAAGACAAAUGAUAGAAAUAAACCUAUUACCAUGCAGCGGAAGUUAGACUACACUAGAUAAACCAUAGUCAUGUAUUCAAUGAAGUGAAAGGACAAUGACUAAUAGUAGCUAGGUAGUAAGGAUCAGGCAGGAAGAUAUUAAGAAGCCAAACGGAUCACACAGUCACUCAGUGAAGACAAAAGAUAGAGCAAACAUACAAUGACUUCACACAGAGUAACAGUAAGUAAAGAGAAGGGAAGGAUGAAACCAGUGACUCGUUGAAGACAAAUAUUUGUUGGACCAGUUCCAGUUGCUGUGACAACUGUACGUCUGGUUAGGGCGGCUAGGUAUUUAAACCAAAGGACACAUAGUCCCGGACACCCAGUCCUGAACACGCAGCUCAGGACACCCAGUCCUCACAGUAUUCCCCUUGAGCUAAGGUCACACAGACCUCGCCCAAUCACUCUGGUAAGUCUUCAAGGUAGACUCCCAAACCUUCACAGACUUCGUUCACCGGCAAUCCACAAUGUCUCUUGGAUGCUAUAACGCGACGCCUAACUGGCUGGAGGAUGCACAGUCCUCAAGUGUAAUAAGUCUUCAUAUCACUCAGACAAGAAGACUUAAGUGAUGCCUAAUUCUCUUUGGCUCUGGGUGGUUAGGGCUUUAUCCUCGCAAGGAAUUCUCUCUCAAAGGCUUCGAGGUGGGUUGCUCUCAAACGACAAAAGCCGUACUCUGAAUCCGAGCAGCCAACCGUUUAUGGUUGUAGGGGGUGGGCUAUUUAUAGCCACUAGGCAACCCGACAUGAUUUGUCCGAAAUGACCCUGGGUCACUAAGGAACUGACACGUGUUCCAACGGUCAGAUUUCAAACUCACACGGCAACUUUACUUGGGCUACAAGCAAAGCUGACUUGUCCGACUCUGGACAAGAUUUGCUCUCAUAGUCUUCACUCGAAGACAUAGGUUUUUGUUUAAGCAUCACUUCAGUCAUUCUGACUGGUUCUCUUGGACCCCACUUAACAGUGCGGUGGUUCCUAUGACUCAACACAGAAGAAAAAGAACUACGAAAGAUCUAAGUCUUCGAGCUCCAUAGGCUUCAUGCAGUGUCUUCUCUUGUCAUAGUCUUCAAUGUGAAUAUCUUCAUAUACCACCUUUGACAUCAAUGUCUUCAUACAUUUUUAGGGGUCAUCUCUGGUGGGAAAACCAAAUCAAUGAGGUACUUCUACCUGUGUUAUCCUGCAAUUCUCAUAAACACAUUAGUCCCUCAACUAGGUUUGUCGUCAAUACUCCAAAACCAACUAGGGGUGGCACUAGAUGCACUUACACAGUCGUCUCUAAAGCAUAACCCCAAAAUGAUAGCAGUAAAUUAGUAAGAGACAUCAUAGAUCGCACCAUAUCUAAUAAAGUGCGGUUACGAUGUUCGGACACACCAUUAUGUUGUGGUGUUCCGUGUGGCGUGAGUUGCGAAACUGUUCUGCAUUGUUUCAAAUGAAGACCAAACACGUAACUCAAAUAUUCACCUCCACGAUCAGAUUGUAGAAACUUUAUUUUCUUGUUACGAUAUUUUUCCUCUUCACUCUGAAUUUUUUUGAACUUUUCAAAUGUUUCAGACUUAUGUUUCAUCAAGUAGAUAUACCCAUAUCUGCUCAAAUCAUCUGUGAAGGUCAGAAAAUAACAAUACCCGCCGCGAGCCUCAACACUCAUCGGACCGCAUACAUCCGUAUGUAUUAUUUCCAACAAGUCUAUUGCUCACUCCAUUGUUCCGGAGAAUGGAGUCUUAGUCAUCUUGCCCAUGAGGCAUGGUUCGCAAGCAUCAAGUGAUUCAUAAUCAAGUGAUUCCAAAAGUCCAUCAGCAUGGAGUUUCUUCAUGCGCUUUACACCAAUAUGACCUAAACGGCAGUGCCACAAAUAAGUUGCACUAUCAUUAUUAACCUUGCAUCUUUUGGCUUCAAUAUUAUGAAUAUGUGUGUCACUAUUGUCGAGAUUCAAUAAAAAUAGAUCACUCAUCAAGGGUGCAUGACCAUAAAAGAUAUUACUCAUAUAAAUAGAACAACCAUUAUUCUCUGAUUUAAAUGAAUAUCCGUCUCGCAUCAAACAAGAUCCAGAUAUAAUGUUCAUGCUUAACGUUGGCACCAAAUAACAAUUAUUCAGGUCUAAAACUAAUCCCGAUGGUAGAUGUAGAGGUAGCAUGCUGACGGCGAUCACAUCGACUUUGGAACCAUUUCCCACGCGCAUCGUCACCUCGUCCUUAGCCAAUCUUCGCUUAAUCCGUAGCCCAUGUUUCGAGUUGCAAAUAUGAGCAACAGAACCAGUAUCAAAUACCUAGGCGCUACUACGAGCAUUAGUAAGGUACACAUUAAUAACAUGUAUAUCAAAUAUACCUUUCACUUUGCCAUCCUUCUUAUCCAUCAAAUACUUGGGGUAGUUCCGCUUCCAAUGACCAGUCCCUUUGUAGUAGAAGCAUUCAGUCUCCGGCUUAGGUCCAGACUUGGGCUUCUUCACUUGAGCAACAACUUGCUUGUCAUUCUUCUUGAAGUUCCCCUUCUUCCCUUUGCCCUUUUUCUUGAUACUGGUGGUCUUGUUGACCAUCAACACUUGAUGCUCCUUCUUGAUUUCUACCUCUACAGCCUUUAGCAUUGCGAAGAGCUCGGGAAUUGUCUUAUCCAUCCCUUGCAUAUUAUAGUUCAUCAUGAAGCUUUUGUAGCUUGGUGGCAGUGAUUGAAGAACUCUGUCAAUGACACUAUCAUCAGGAAGAUUAACUCCUAGUUGAGUCAAGUGGUUGUGGUACCUGGACAUUUUGAGUAUAUGUUCACUAACAAAACUAUUCUCCUCCAUCUUACAGCUGUAGAACUUAUUGGAGACUUCAUAUCUCUCAAUCCGGGCAUUUGCUUGAAAAUUUUACUUCGACUCCUGGAACAUCUCAUAUGCUCCAUGAUGUUCAAAACGUUGUUGAAGUCCCGAUUCUAAGCCGUAAAGCAUGGCACACUAAACUAUCGAGUAGUCAUCGGCUUUGCUCUACCAGACGUUCAUAAUGUCCGGUGUUGCUUGAUACGUCUCCGUCGUAUCUACUUUUCCAAACACUUUUGUCCUUGUUUUGGACUCUAACUUGCAUGAUUUGAAUGGAACUAACCCGGACUGACGCUGUUUUCAGCAGAAUUACCAUGGUGUUAUUUAUGUGUAGAAAUAAAAGUUCUCGGAAUGACCUGAAACUUCAGGGAACGUCUUUUUGGAAAUAAUAAAAAAUCCUUGCAAAAGAUGAAGACCAGGGGGCCCACACCCUAGCCACGAGGGUGGGGGCGCGCCUGCCCCCCUAGGCGCGACCCCUACCUUGUGGGCCCCCUGGAGCUCCUCCGACCUCAACUCCAACUCUAUAUAUUUGCUUUCAGGGAGAAAAAAAUUAGAGAGAAGGAUUCAUCGCGUUUUACAAUACAGAGCCGCCGCCAAGCCCUAAAACCUCUCAGGAGGGCUGAUCUGGAGUCCGUUCGGGGCUCCGGAGAGGGGAAUCCGUCGCCAUCGUCAUCAUCAACCUUCCUCCAUCACCAAUUUCAUGAUGCUCACCGCCGUGCGUGAGUAAUUCCAUCAUAGGCUUGCUGGACGGUGAUGGGUUGGAUGAUAUUUAUCAUGUAAUCGAGUUAGUUUUGUUAGGGUUUGAUCCCUAGUAUCCACUAUGUUGUGAGAUUGAUGUUGCUAUGACUUUGCUAUGCUUAAUGCUUGUCACUAGGGCCCGAGUGCCAUGAUUUCAGAUCUGAACCUAUUAUGUUUUCAUCAAUAUAUGAGUGUUCUUGAUCCUAUCUUGCAAGUCUAUAGUCACCUACUAUGUGUUAUGAUCUGGCAACCCCGAGGUGACAAUAAUAGGGACCACUCCCGGUGAUGACCGUAGUUUGAGGAGUUCAUGUAUUCAUUAUGUGUUAAUGCUUUGGUCUGGUACUCUAUUAAAAGGAGGCCUUAAUAUCCCUUAGUUUCCGCUAGGACCCCGCUGCCACGGGAGGGUAGGACAAAAGAUGUCAUGCAAGUUCUUUUCCAUAAGCACGUAUGACUAUAUUCGAAAUACAUGCCUACAUUACAUUGAUGAAUUGGAGCUAGUUUUGUGUCACCCUAGGUUAUGACUGUUACAUGAUGAACCGCAUCCGGCGUAAUUCUCUAUCACCGAUCCAUUGCCUACGAGCUUUCCAUAUAUUGUUCUUCACUUAUUUACUUUUCCGUUGCUAUUGCUAUCAUCACUACAAAAUACCAAAAACAUUAAUUUUGCUAUCGUUACCUUUUGCUACCGUUACCACUACUAUCAUAUUACGUUGCUACUAAACACUUUACUACAGAUAUUAAGUUUCUAGGUGUGGUUGAAUUGACAACUCAACUUUCAACUGCUAAUACUUGAUAAUAUUCUUUGGCUCCCCUUGUGUCGAAUCAAUAAAUUUGGGUUGAAUACUCUACCCUCGAAAACUGUUGCGAUCCCCUAUACUUGUGGGUUAUCAAGACUAUUUUCUGGCGUCGUUGCCGGGGAGCAUAGCUCUAUUCUUUGAGUCACUUGGGAUUUAUAUCUGUUUAUCAUUAUGAAGAACUUGAGAGAUCCAAAAACCAAGAUUUAUCUCUCAACUACGAGGGGAGGUAAGGAACUGCCAUCUAGCUCUGCACUUGAUUCACCUUCUAUUUUGAGUAAGCUUGCGACACCUAAACCUGCUUCUGCUAUUCAUUCUGAUAUGUCGCAUGUUAUUAAUGAUGCCACUUGUGCUAUGCAUGAUACUUAUGAUGAAACUACUUCUAUGCUUGAUACUACUGUGCCACUUGGUGAAUUUCUUGAUGAACAACUUGCUAGGGUUAGAGAGAAUGAAAUUAUUGAAACUGAUAAUAUAUAUAUAUAUAUUUGAAUAUAUACUGUAGGGUAAAACCCCCACAGCCCUUUAUUGCAGUCUCAAAAAACAAACUGUACAGUGAAAGAAAGAGAUGACAAGCCUAAACGAAAAGUUAAGAAGAACUUACAAUUACAUGAGGGAGUUAACUCAAUCUACAAGCCUAGACUUAGAGCUAUCCUUAAACCUAUGUGACAGGAGAAGAAUGUCAUGUACAAAACUGCCCCUCCAGGCAACAAAAGUAGCCCGUAGUCCCCUGAAAGUUCUUCCAUUUCUCAGAAUCCAUAUAUUCCAAGCAGCUGUGAGCAUAACUUCAAAGAAGAAAGGAUACCCAAAUCGCUGCCUUGCUUGAGAUAUACAUUGCUGAAUAGAAGAACCAUGUGACCAAUCGAUCUGCAGGUAUUUCCAAACCCUGGCACUGAAAUUACAACCAAAGAAUAGGUGAGCCCUGUCCUCCCAAACAAAGGCAUUACAGAUGACACAUAGAUGAUCAGCCGUAGGGGACCUCCGGUGGCUGCGGACCAGCACGUCCUUUGUGUUGAGUCUGUCAAAGAAUAGGAGCCAGCCAAAAACCUUAAUUUUCAUAGUACAUAUGCUCUGCCAAAGCCACCUGCAGGGUUUAAUAGUUGGGAGGUGUGUAUGCAUGAUGUCAUAGAAGCUCUUUGCAGAAAACUGUCCAGAUUUACCAGGCCAAAUCCAAACAUCAGGCAAUGUUGGAUCUCUCUGGAGAUUGAACAUCCUUCCUUCCAAGGAUUCCAAUUCUGCUGCUGCCUGCUGAGAAAUUGGCAGAUGAAACAUUGAGAACAAAUCCUGGGUUUGCAAAAACUCCCUGACAGAAACCUUAUCAUCCAAAACAAAAGAGAAAAGCCUUGGUAAUCUGAGGCUUAGUGGCCUUGAAGAGCCACCUACAUGGCAAGCAUCCAGCCAAAAGAGAGCAGAAUCACCCAUAUUAACUGGCACUGAAGCAAUUGACCUAUAAGUGUCAGCAAGCUUGAGAAUGUCCUUCCACCAAAAGGAGCCAGUUAGGACUGUUGCAUGGGGCACCACUCCAUCAUAAUAACUAUCCCAAAUCAACUGGACCCAAGGAAUCUGCUGUUUGUUGUAGAACUUAUGCAUUUGUUUGAGAAGCAGACCUUGAUUUUGAACAUUGAGGUUGAGAAUGCCAAGUCCUCCCUUAUCCUUUGGUCUGCAAACUAAAUCACAGGCAGCUAGGGAUUGCUUAGGCACAUCAGAAUUUCCUCUCCACAAACACUGCCUGAAAAUCCUAUCCAACUGUUUGAUAAUACCAGGUGGGAUAUGCAAGCUGCAGAGGAAGUAUAUGGGCAUUGAAGUAAGCACAGAUGUGAGAAAUUGUAACCUGGAUCCUUGGUUGAGCAUGGCAGAGCUAACAGACAGUCUUCUUUCAAGACUAUCCACUAAAGGCAUGAAAUCAAUGAUUCUAGGUCUUGUUGUACCAAGAGGCAAACCCAGAUAUGUGAAAGGUAACUGCUCCGGUUUACAUCCCAGGAUGGAAGACAACCUCUGUGCCUCUGUGGGAUCAACAUUUAGUGGCACCAUUGAAGACUUUCCAAAAUUUACCUUUAGGCCAGUAGACUGUUGGAAAAUAUGGAGCAUGUUCUUGAGAGCCACCAACUGGUCCUGUACUGCAGAAAGGAUAAUUAUUGUGUCAUCUGCAUACUGAAUGAUAGGAAAUUCAGGGUCCUAAGAUGGGAUUGGAAGUGUUAGAACUCCCUUAGCCAGCAUGUUAUUGACCAUUGUUUGAAGAAGAUCGGCAGCUAUGACAAAUAAAAGAGGGGAUAGGGGAUCCCCCUGCCUGACCCCACAUUUAUAUUUGAACUGUUUGCCAGGCACCCCAUUAAGCAAAACAGAUGAUGAUCCUGAGGAGAGAAUCUCUUUAAUCCAAGAAAUCCAUUUGGCAUCAAAACCUUUGUGCUGUAGAACUUGCAAGAUGAAGUCAUGCUCCACAGUGUCAAAAGCUUUGGCAAAAUCCAAUUUCAAAAUGAUGGUUGGCCUUUUGGAUUGAUUGCAUUGAUGUAUAUAUUCAAAAGCCCAAGCCAGGCAGUCCUGAAUGGCUCUGCUCUUCAAAAACCCAUAUUGAUUCUUAUGGAUGCAUUGCAGAAUGACCUUUUGAAGCCUAUUUCCCAAAAGCUUAGUAAGGAACUUGAGGCAUGUGUUAGUAAGAGAGAUUGGUCUAAAAUCCUCAAGUCCUUCAGGAGACAACAUCUUUGGAAUUAAGGUGAUAAGGGAUCCAUUAAUAUUUUCCAAAGAUAGCCUCCCAUCAUAAAACCCCUGAAUGAGAGCCAAGAAAUCCUUCUCAAUGAUGGGCCAACACUUCUUAACAAAAAGACCAUUAAAACCGUGAAAGUGAUGAUGAAGAUUCUCCCCCUAAUAAAUAUGAAUUGCCUGUUGUGCCUGAGGGCUAUGUUAUGGAUGAAGAAAUUGCUAAAGCUAUUUUUGUUUGCAAAGAUAGAUAUGAUCUUAAGAAGUUAUUAGCUAAAUGGAAGCAGCAAUCUCUUAAUGCUAGAAUGAAACCUGACCCUGCUUUUGCUACUUCACCUAUCUGUGUUACUGAUAAGGAUUAUGAAUUCUCUGUUGAUCCUGAUAUAAUUACUUUGGUUGAAUCUGAUCCUUUUCAUGGCUAUGAGUCUAAAACUGUUGUGGCACAUCUUACUAAAUUAAAUGAUAUAGCCACCCUAUUCACUAAUGAUGAGAGAACUCGUUACUUUUAUAUCCUUAAAAUAUUCCUGUUCUCAUUAAAGGGUGAUGCUAAGAUAUGGUUUAAUUCUCUUGAUCCUGGUUGUGUGCGUAGUCCCCAGGAUAUGAUUUAUUACUUCUCUGCUAAAUAUUUCACUGCUCAUAAGAAACAAGCUGCUUUGAGGGAUAUAUAUAAUUUUGUGCAAAUUGAAGAAGAGAGUCUCCCACAAGCUUGGGGGAGGCUUCUCCAAUUACUUAAUGCUUUGCCUGAUCAUCCUCUUAAGAAAAAUGAAAUAUUGGAUAUAUUUUAUAAUGGACUAAGUGAUGCUUCCAGAGAUUACCUGGAUAGUUGUGUUGGUUCUGUUUUCAAGGAAAGAACACCGGAUGAAGCUGAAAUUCUAUUGAAUAAUAUGUUGACAAAAGAAAAUAAUUGGACACUUCCUGAGCCAGCUCCUGAGCCUAUUCCUAAACCAACUCCGAAGAAGAGGGGUAUUCUAUUUCUCAGUCCUGAAGAUAUGCAAGAGGCAAAGAAAUCCAUGAAAGAAAAGGGUAUUAAAGCUGAAGAUGUUAAGAAUUUACCUCCUAUUGAAGAAAUACACGGUCUUAAUUUACCGCCUGUUGAAGAAACAUAUGAUCUUAAUCCAUUACCUAUUGAAGAAAUACAUGGUCUUGAUAACCCGACACAAGUAGUAAAGGUAAACUCUCUCUAUAGAUAUGAUAAAAUUGAAAUCCCUCUUACUAAGUUUGCUAGCCAAUGCUUAGAUGAGUUUGAUAAUUUUAUGGUGAAGCAAGAAGAUUUUAAUUCUUAUUUUGGUAGACAAUUGAAAUACAAUUCAAAUAUGCUUGAACACUUGGGUGAUUAUAUGGCUAAUGUUAAAGGUGAAAUUAAACUUAUUAGCAAACAUGCUUCUAUGGUUACCACUCAAGUAGAACAAGUACUUAAAGCUCAAAAUGAUUUGCUCAAUGAACUGAAUAGUAAGAAUAAUGAUAAUGCUGUUAGAGUUAUGACUAGAGGUGGUAAAAUGACUCAAGAACCUUUGUAUCCUGAAGGCCAUCAUAAGAGAAUUGAGCAAGAUUCUCGGAGAAAUAAUAUAGAUGCACCUAGUUCUUCUAAAAGGAAGAAAAAGAAAAAUGAUAGGACUUUGCAUGCUUCUAGUGAACCUAUUGAUGAAACACCUGAGAAUCCAAAUGAUAUUUCUAUUUCUGAUGCUGAAACACAAUCUGGUAAUGAACCUGAAACUAGUGAUAAUAUUAAUGAUAAUGUUCAUGUUGAUGCUCAACCUAGCAAUGAUAAUGAUAUAGAAAUUGAACCUGUUGUUGAUCUUGAUAACCCACAAUCAAAGAAUCAACGUUAUGAUAAGAGAGACUUUGUUGCUAGGAAACAUGGUAAGGAAAGAGAGCCUUGGGUUCAGAAACCCAUGCCUUUUCCUCCCAAACCAUCCAAGAAAAAGGAUGAUGAGGAUUUUGAGCACUUUGCUGAAAUGAUUAGACCUACCUUUUUGCGUAUGCGAUUAACUGAUAUGCUUAAAAUGAAUCCUUAUGCUAAGUACAUGAAAGAAAUUGUUACUAAUAAAAGAAAGAUACCGGAAGCUGAAAUUUCCACCAUGCUUGCUAAUUAUACUUUUAAAGGUGGAAUACCUAAGAAACUAGGAGAUCCCGGAGUACCAACUAUACCAUGCUCCAUUAAAAGAAAUUAUGUUAAAAUUGCUUUAUGUGAUCUUGGAGUCGGUGUUAGUGUUAUGCCUCUCUCUUUAUAUCAUAGACUUGAUUUGAAUAAGUUGACACCUACUAAAAUAUCUUUGCAAAUGGCUGAUAAAUCAACUGCUAUACCUAUCGGUAUUUGUGAGGAUGUGCCUGCUGUGGUUGCAAACGUUACUAUUUUAAUGGACUUUGUUAUUCUUGAUAUUCCCGAGGACGAUAGUAUGUCUAUUAUUCUUGGAAGACCCUUUUUGAAUACUGCAGGGGCUGUUAUUGAUUGCAACAAAGGCAAUGUCACUUUUCAUGUUAAUGGUAAUGAGCAUACGGUACACUUUCCGAGGAAACAACCUCAAGUCCACAGUAUCAAUUCUAUUGGAAAAAUUCAAUCGAUUAUUUUUGAAGGUUUUGAAUUUCCUCUUCCUACUGUCAAAAGAAAUAUGAUAUUCUUAUUAUUGGGGAUGUGCAUAUCCCCGUUGAGGUAACAUAGUGUUAUUCGAAAUUCCUCCGGUUCCAUGUUAUUCGGAAUGAGUUUGCUAACAAGACUUGAUCAACCAUGUUAACGGAUUCCUUUUGAUGAGCAUGAGAUGGAUGAAACUAGAAGGCACAACUCUCCGUACCCUCCUUUUACUUUCUGUUAUUUAUAUUAAAUAAAAUUAAAAGAAGUAUUUUCCGUCUGUUAUCUGAUUUAUCCGUGCAAUAUAAAAUACCCCGAAAAUAAAAGUUCUCCAAAUGCCUUGAAAUUUAAAUAUGAUUUUUUCUGGAAUAUUUGAGAAUAUUUGGCACUAAGAACACAACACAGGGGGCAUCCACCUGGCCACGAGAGUGGAGGGCGCGCCCUACCCCCCCUGUGCGUGCCCCUUGCCUCGUGGGCCCACGGUGGCCCUCCUCCACUUAUUCCUGCACCCACACACUCCUUCCUCCCAUAAACACGAUUAUCCAGUUCGAACCCAAGUCCAAGCUCAUUUUGCUGCUAUUUUCGAUCUCCUUGCUCAAAGCACCUCUCACAAAACUGCUUGGGGGGAUUGUUCCUUGGUAUGCGACUCCUCCAUUGGUCCAAUUAGUUUUUGUUCUAGUGCUUUAUUCAUUGCAAAUUUAUGUUGUCUAGGUGCCCAUGUUCCUGAGCUUGCAUGUCAAAUUUAUGUGGUUCCAACUAGUUUUGAUGCAUGAUAUAGGCUCUAGGCACUUGUAGGAGUUGUUGCUAUCAAUUUUGUUGAGCUUGGCUCACUUUUAUUUGAAGUUACUAAAAAUUUCAGAAUUUUUCAGAAAAUAAUGAAGAGAUUUUUGAGGGGCUCAUCAAGCCGAAGCUCGAAGGAAAAGCAAAAUGAAAAAGCAGAGAGGCCCGAAUAUAAUCUGCCUCGCACCGCAGAGGUUCGGCCGUGUGAAUGGCCUUCCAAUGAUUUCUUGAGAGCAGUCGGGAUUUAUGAUGAUUUUUAUGAAUUGGCUGAGAAUGUAGGCCUCACCGCCUUCCUCCAUGACCAACGCGAACAAUAUCUCUUACUCACCAAUAUCUUUGUGCAAAACUUUCAUUUCCAUGCUAGGAGCUCACCACCUACGGUGGAGUUUUAUUUGUAUGAUGAGCACAAGGAGAUGUCACUUUACGAUUUCUGUCGGGUUUGAUUGAUCCCUUUCGAGGGCACAAUAGAGGAACCACACCGCGGUGAUGUGGAUGGGUUUAUAGAUACCAUCACUGUAGGGGAAACGAGGAAGGUUUCCGAUGCACGAAUCACUAGCAUACAUUUUCCUGUUUUACGCUACUUUGCAAUAUUUGCUAGUCGUUGCUUAAUUGGUCGCGAAAACUGUGGAAACCUUAGUGUUCCUGAUAUUAUUAUUUUGUUCCACGGUUUAUUCUGUGAUAAAUCUGUUAGUAUGGGCGGUAUUAUUGCUAAACGGUUAAGUCUCAACUGUACAAAGGGCCCCAUCUUUGGAGGCAUCUAUGCUUCACGCCUAACUGCGCAUUUUAACAUACCUAUUAAGCAUUAUGAGAAGGAAGAAAAAUUGCUGCCCCUGUUUAUUUAGAUUAUAAGAGUAUGGUGGCACACGAUUUUAUUGUUAAGAAUAGGAAAGGGGAGCUUAAAUACAAAUUGUUCUUUGAUAAACAUCAUCCUGAGACUAUUACCCUGCCUACUCCUUCCUUGUUUGAUUUAUCUCCAGGCAAGUACCUUGUUCCGUUAGAGGCUAUUCACGCCUACCGGAACAUUGCAUCAGCCACAGAGCCAGAGUCGGAACCACUAGUUGAUCCUCCACGACAGUCUAAUUACCAUUGGGAUCCAGAAAUGAUAGCCACCAGUGGAAAUCAGAGUCUUCUUCGCAGUACGACCCCAACUAUUACUAUGGAUAUCCGCCAGGCCAGCCGUGGCCAUAGACCAACUUAGGUCAAAAGCCUAAACUUGGGGGAGUACGUAUUUCCCGCCGACAUUACAUUCAUGUUCGCACACUCAUUGCUAGAUGUCGGUGCUCAUACUUUUUCAUUGUAUCAUCCAUGCUAGUUCAUUUCCUUUUUAAGCUUUCUUCUUGUGUGUUUAAUAAACCUUAAGAAAAACCAAAAAAACUAGUUGUAGCUUUUAGCUAGUUUUAAUUUCCAUGCUUGUAGUAGUAAUUAAAAAGAAAACCCAAAAAAAGAUUUCUUGUUCUUGUUUUGCUCGUUGGGAGCUUUCCCGUGUAAAUAGUUUUAUUUCUUUUCUUUGGGGGUCGAUAGGAGAAUACCAUGAUUAAAUUGUUGAAGUGGCUCUUAUAUAUAUUUUUUAUCUGACAAAAGAGCCCAUAUUGCCUUGUCUUCUCCAGUUUAUUGAAUGCUUGCAGAUUCCAGCUUAGUCCAAUGCACGCGCACUAUUAUUAUUAUCCACAUCGUUCGGUCGUGCAAGUGAAAGGCAAUUAUGACAAUAUAUGAUGGACUGACUGAGAUGAGAAAAGCUGGUAUAAACUCAACCUCUCUUGUUUUUGUAAAUAUGAUUAGUUCAUCGUUCCUGAUUCAGCCUAUUAUGAAUAAACAUGUUUGCAAUGACAACUAGAGAUCAUAGUUUCUUGUGCCAUGCUUGAUUAGCUAGGAGCUUAUAAUGGUUUACCUUGCGUGCCAACAUGCUAUUAAAAUGGUUGUGAUGUGGUAUGAUAGGGUGGUAUCCUCCUCUGAAUGAUUUGAGUGGCUUGACUUGGCACAUGCUCACGCAUGUAGUUGAAAUAAAAUCAACAUAUCCUCUACGAUAUUUAUGUUCAUGGGGAAUUAUAUCCUACUCAUGCUUGCAUUUGGUGUUGAUUAAUUUUAAUGCAUGUUUAUGAGUGUUGUCGCUCUCUAGCUGGUUGCUUCCCAGUCUUUUGCUAGCCUUCACCUGUACUAAGCGGGAAUACUGCUUGUGCAUCCAAUCCCAUAAACCCCAAAGUUAUUCCAUAUGAGUCCACCAUACCUACCUAUUUACGGUAUCUACCUGCCGUUCCAAGUAAAUUUGUAUGUGCCAAACUCUAAACCUUCAAAUAAAUAUCAUGUUUUGUAUGCUCGAAUAGCUCAUGUAUCAACUAGGGCUGUCUGUAUCUUCCAUGUUAGGCGGGUUAUUCUCAAGAGGAGUGGACUCCGCUCCUCACUCACGAGAAAAUGGCUGGUCACCGGGAUGCCCAGUCCCAUGCUUUAUGCAAAUCAAAUCAAAAUAAUUGCAAACAAAACUCUCCCUAGGACUCUUGUUAGUUGGAGGCACUCGUUGUUUUGAGCAAGCCAUGGAUUGAUGCUUGUUAGUGGAAGGGGAGUAUAAACUUUACCAUUCUGUUUGGGAACCGCCUAUAAUGUGUGUAGCAUAGAAUAUAUCGCCCUCUCUUGGUUGUUAUGUUGACAAUGAAAGUAUACUGCUCAAAAUAUUAUUCACCUCUAUUUCAAAACCGAGCUCUGGCACCUCUACAAAUCCCUGCUUCCCUCUGCGAAGGGCCUAUCUAUUUACUUUUAUGUUGACUCAUCAUCCUCUUAUUAAAAAUCACAAGUUGGAGAGCACCGCUGUCAUUUGCAUUCAUUACUGUUAGUUUACAUUGAGUAUGACUGGACUGGAUCUCUUUUACCAUGAAUUACAAUGUCUAGUCAGUCCUUGAUCUUUAAAGGUGCUCUGCAUUUAUGUUUUGCGGUCUCAGAAAGGGCUAGCGAGAUACCAUCUUGUUAUAUCAUAUCAUGAUUGUUUUGAGAAAGUGUUGUCAUCUGAGAUUUAUUAUAUUGCUCGCUAGUUGAUUAUGCCAUUGAUAUGAGUAAACAUGAGACCUAAAUGUUAUUGUGAAUAUGGUUAGUUCAUAAUCUUUGCUGAAAACUUGAAUGCUGGCUCUACAUAUUUACAACAACAAGAGCAAACAGAGUUUGUAAAAGUUUUUCUUUAUCACUUUCAGCUUAUCAACUGAACUGCUUGAGGACAAGCAAAGGUUUAAGCUUUGGGCAGUUGAUACGUCUUCGUCGUAUCUACUUUUCCAAACACUUUUGCCCUUGUUUUGGACUCUAACUUGCAUGAUUUGAAUGGAACUAGCCCGGACUUACGCUGUUUUCAGCAGAAUUGCCAUGGUGUUAUUUUUGUGCAGAUAUAAAAGUUCUCGGAAUGACCCGAAAAUCAACGGAGAAUUAUUUUGGAAUACAUAAAUAAUACUGGAAGGAAGAUCCACGUCAGGGGGGCCUCCACCUGUCCACGAGGGUGGGGGCGCGCCCUACCCCCCUGGUGCUACCUCUUGAGCACUGCGUUGGUUUUCCCUUGAAGAGGAAAGGGUGAUGCAGUAAAGUAGCGUAAGUAUUCCCCUCAGUUUUUGAGAACCAAGGUAUCAAUCCAGUAGGAGAUCACGCUCGAGUCCCACGCACCUACACAACCAAAUAAGAACCUCGCAACCAACGCGAUAAAGGGGUUGUCAAUCCCUUCACGGUCACUUACGAGAGUGAGAUCUGAUAGAUAUGGUAAGAUAAUAUUUUGGUAUUUUUAUGAUAAAGAGAAAUAAAGAUGCAAAGAAAAAUAAACGGCAAUAGAAAUAACUAAGUAUCACCUGGGCGCACCCCCUGCCUCGUGGGCCCCCUGACGCUCCACCAACCUCAACCCUGACUUCAUAUAUUCACUUUCGGGGAGAAAAAACCAGAGAGAAAGAUUCAUCACAUUUUACGAUACGGAGCCGCCGCCAAGCCCUAAACUCUCUCGGGAGGGCUGAUCUGGAGUCCGUUCGGGGCUCCGAAGAGGGGAAUCCAUCGCCAUCAUCAUCAUCAACCUUCCUCCAUCACCAAUUUCAUGAUGCUCACCGUCGUGCGUGCAUAAUUCCAUCGUAGGCUUGCUGGACGGUGAUGGGUUGGAUGAGAUUUAUCAUGUAAUCGAGUUAGUUUUGUUAGGGUUUGAUCCCUAGUAUCCACUAUGUUCUGAGAUUGAUGUUGCUAUGACUUUGCUAUGCUUAAUGCUUGUCACUAGGGCCCGAGUGCCAUGAUUUCAGAUCUGAACCUAUUAUGUUAUCAUCAAUAUAUGAGCGUUCUUGAUCCUAUCUUGCAAGUCUAUAGUCACCUACUAUGUGUUAUGAUCCGGCAACCCCGAAGUGACAAUAAUCGGGACCACUCCUGGUGAUGACCGUAGUUUGAGGAGUUCAUGUAUUCACUAUGUGUUAAUGCUUUGGUCCGGUACUCUAUUAAAAGGAGGCCUUAAUAUCCCUUAGUUUCUGCUAGGACCCCGCUUCCACGGGAGGGUAGGACAAAAGAUGUCAUGCAAGUUCUUUUCCAUAAGCACGUAUGACUAUAUUCGGAAUACAUGCCUACAUUACAUUAAUGAAUUGGAGCUAGUUCUAUGUCACCCUAGGUUAUGAUUGUUACAUGAUGAACCGCAUCCGACAUAAUUCUCUAUCACUGAUCCAUUGCCUACGAGCUUUCCAUAUAUUGUUCUUCGCUUAUUUACUUUUCCAUUGCUAUUGCUAUCAUCACUACAAAAUACCAAAAACAUUACUUUUGCUAUCGUUACCUUUUGCUGCCGUUACCACUACUAUCAUAUUACUUUGCUACUAAACACUUUGCUGCAGAUAUUAAGUUUCCAGGUGUGGUUGAAUUGACAAGUCAGCUGCUAAUAGUUGAGAAUAUUCUUUGGCUCCCCUUGUGUUGAAUCAAUAAAUUUGGGUUGAAUACUCUACCCUUGAAAACUGUUGCGAUCCCCUAUACUUGUGGGUUAUCAUUGCUCCUGCAGCGGGUCUUGCACAUAGCGGUGCUUCCAGGACGUAAUUCUUCUGUGUAGCAAUGAGGAUAAUCCUCAAGUUACGGACCUAGUCCAUGUAGUUGCUACCAUCAUCUUUCAACUUAGGUUUCUCUACGAACGCAUUAAAAUUCAAAGGGACAUUAGCACGGGCCAUUGAUCUACAACAACAUAGACAUGCAAACUACUAUCAGGUGCUAAGUUCAUGAUAAAUUAAAGUUCAAUUAAUCAUAUUACUUAAGAACUCCCACUUAGAUAGACAUCCCUCUAGUCAUCUAAAUGAUCACGUGAUCCAUAUCAACUAAACCAUGUCCGAUCAUCUCGUGAGAUGGAGUAGUUUCAAUGGUGAACAUCACUAUGUUGAUCAUAUCUACUAUAUGAUUCACGCUCGACCUUUCGGUCUCAGUGUUCCGAGGCCAUAUCUGCAUAUGCUAGGCUCGUCAAGUUUAACCCGAGUAUUCUGCGUGUGCAAAACUGGCUUGCACCCGUUGUAUGUGAACGUAGAGCUUAUCACACCCGGUUAUCACGUGGUGUCUCGGCACGACGAACUAUAGCAAUGGUGCAUACUCAGAGAGAACACUUGUACCUUGAAAUUUAGUGAGAGAUCAUCUUAUAAUGCUACCGCCGUACUAAGCAAAAUAAGAUGCAUAAAGGAUAAACAUCACAUGCAAUCAAAAUAAGUGAUAUGAUAUGGCCAUCAUCAUCUUGUGCCUUUGAUCUCCAUCUCCAAAGAACCGUUAUGAUCACCAUCAUCACCGGCUUGACACCUUGAUCUCCAUCGUAGCAUCGUUGUCAUCUCGCCAACUAUUGCUUCUACGACUAUCGCUACCACUUAGUGAUAACGUAAAGCAAUUACAUGGCGAUUGCAUUUCAUACAAUAAAGCGACAACCAUAAGGCUCCUGCCAGUUGCCGAUAACUUUUACAAAACAUGAUCAUCUCAUACAACAACUUAUAUAUCAUCACGCAAAAACAAGUUAGACGUCCUCUACUUUGUUGUUGCAAGUUUUACGUGGCUGCUACAGGCUUCUAGCAAGAACCGUUCUUAUCUACGCAUCAAAACCACAAUGAUUUUUCAUCAAGUGUGUUGUUUUAACCUUCAACAAGGACCGGGCGUAGUCAAACUCGAUUCAACUAAAGUUGGAGAAACAGACACCCAGUAGCCACCUGUGUGUGAAGCACCUCGAUGGAACCAGUCUCAUGAACGCGGUCAUGUAAUGUCGGCCUGAGCUGCUUCAUCCAACAAUACCGCCAAAUCAAAGUAAGACGUUGCUGGUAAGAAGUAUGACUAUUAUCGUCCACAACUCAUUGUGUUCUACUCGUGCAUAUAACAUCUACGCAUAGACCUGGCUCGGAUGUCAUUGUUGGGGAACGUAGUAUUUCAAAAAAAAUCAUACGAUCACGCAAGAUAUAUCUAGGAGAAGCAUAGCAAUGAGCGGGGAGAGUGUGUUCACGUACCCUCGUAGACCGAAAGCGGAAGCGUUUAGUAACACGGUUGAUGUAGUCGAACGUCUUUGCGAUCCAAUCGAUCCAAACACCAAACGUACGACACCUCCGCGUUCAGCACACGUUCAGCUUGAUGACAUCCCUCGAGCUCUUGAUCCAGUUGAGGCCGAGGGAUAGUUCCGUCAGCACGAUGGCGUGGCGACGGUGAUGAUGAAGUUACCGGCGCAGGGCUUCGCCUAAGAACUACGACGAUAUGACCGAGGUGUGUAACUGUGGAGGGGGGCAACGCCCACGGCUAAGAGAAACUUGUGUCUUUGGGGUGCCCCCCUCCCACGUAUAUAAAUGGGGGGAGGAGGCCGGCCCAAAGGGGGGCGCGCCACAUGUUGGGGGUCCUACUAGGACUCCCUAGUCCUAGUAGGAUUCCCCUCUCCUUUCCUUUUACGGAAGGGGGAAAGGGGGGAAGGAGAGGAGGGGAAGAGGGAAAGGGGGCACGCCCCCUCCCCUUCCUAUUCGGACUCCACUUGGGGGGACGCGCACGCCUCCCCCUUGUGGGUUGUACCCUCUUCUCUCCCAUGGCCCAUAAGGCCCAUGAUUUCCCCCGGGGGGUUCCGGUAACCUCCCGGUACUCCAGAAAAAUGCUCGAAUCACUCGGAAUCAUUCUGAUGUUUGAAUGCAACCUUCCAAUAUAUGAAUCUUUACCUCUCGACCAUUUCUGUGAUCUCAUCCGGGACUCCGGACAAACUUCAGUCAUCAAAUCACAUAACUCAUAAUACAAAUUGGCACGAACGUUAAGCAUGCGGACCCUAUGGGUUUGAGAACUAUGUAGACAUGACUGAGACACAUCUCCGGUCAUUAACCAAUAGCGGAACCUGGAUGCUCAUAUUGGCUCCUACAUAUUCUACGAAGAUCUUUAUCGGUCAAACCGCAUAACAACAUACGUAGUUCCCUUUGUCAUAUGUAUGUUAUUUGCCCGAGAUCCGAUCGUCGGUAUCCCCAUACCUAGUUCAAUCUCGUUACCGUCAAGUAUCUUUACUUGUUCCGUAAUGCAUCAUCAUGUAACUAACUCAUUAGUCACAUUGCUUGCAAGGCUUAUAGUGAUGUGCAUUACCGAGAGGGCUUAGAGAUACCUCUCUGAUACACGAAGUGGCAAAUCCUAAUCUCGAUCUAUGCCAACUCAACAAACACCAUCAGAGACACCUGUAGAGCAUCUUUAUAAUCACCCAGUUACAUUGUGACGUUUGAUAGCACACUAAGUGUUCCUCCGGUAUUCGGGAGUUGCAUAAUCUCAUAGUCAUAGGAACAUGUAUAAGUCAUAAAGAAAGCAAUAGCAAUAAAAUUAAACGAUCAUUAUGCUAAGAUAACGGAUGGGUCUUGUCCAUCACAUCAUUCUCUAAUGAUGUGAUCCCGUUCAUCAAAUGACAACACAUGUCUAUGGUUAGGAAACUUAACCAUCUUUGAUUAACGAGCUAGUCUAGUAGAGGCAUACUAGGGACACUCUGUUUGUCUAUGUAUUCACACAUGUACUAAGUUUCUGGUUAAUACAAUUCUAGCAUGAAUAACAAAGAUUUAUCAUGAUAUAAGGAAAUAUAAAUAACAACUUUAUUAUUGCCUCUAGGGCAUAUUUCCUUCAGGAAGAGCAUCGCGGGUGGGAGGGAGAAGGGGAAUUAAGAGAGUGUGGGUUUGGGUUUGGGCCUCCGCGUGCUAUGUGUACACAUGUGUUGGUGGGUCGAUAGUAGUGGUCCUGGGUUUAUACCCCACGCUACUACUAUGGCCUAUCCCGGGGGUACGGUAGAGACCGCUUAGUAGUAGCGAGGGAUUUAUACCCCUCACUACUACUAUCAACUUAGUAGUAGUGAGGGAUUUAUACCCCUCGCUACUACUAUCAACUUAGUAGUAGUGAGGGAUUUAUACCCCUCGAUACUACUAUGGCCAGUCCCGGGGGGCACGGUGGAGACCACUUAGUAGUAGUGUGGGGUUUAUACCCCUCGCUACUACUAUCAACUUAGUAGUAGUGUGGGUUCUAUACCCCUCGCUACCAAUAAUUAGCAGCAGUGUGGCCCAUAUACCCCUCGCUACGGUUAAGCAUCUAUCUAUAAAGUAUUUUCUAGUAGUGCAUCGAUGGCGGCGAAAUCAGUCGUUCUGCUUGUUUUCCCUACUAGCUCUCUGACGUCCAGAACAAGUUUACGGUCAUAAGGUGCAAUAACCUUGCCUUCAUGAGUGACACGAUGACACGGGAACAGGCUUCCAAGCCUAUGGUGUCGCAUCAUGUCGUGGUCUGCUAGACUUAGUGGACGAAUGCUACUACAAUAUCGGUUGAUCUCAUACUACAAUACCAAGGAAGACACGCAACUACUAUAUAUAUUUCUUCAAGUCAGUCAACACAAGUAAAAUCUGGGAGUUCAACUGGUGCAGCUAUGCAAUGCUAAUGGAGACAACACAAUUCAACUUUAGCACUUCACACAUAAGCAACACCACGUUCAAUGGCACACACCUUAGAGUGUACCUAUGGUGGUUGAUUGGGCUAUAAGAAAUGUGAGUCCAUGUGAAGAUGCCAAAUAUAAUAACACGGCUAAUUACACAUGCAGUGGCAGCAGCAACAAGUGCAUGAAUUCCACAAAUGAUCUAGGGUACACAUGCAACUGUGUCCUUGAGUAUGACAACAACCCUUAUCUUCUAGACAAAUGCAUGGUAUGCUACUAAUUUAUUUGCUAAAUAUUCCAAUGAAUUGUGUCCUUUACUUUGUACAUACCCAAUUAUAAUAUUUUAUUUUGCUAAUACAAUGUAGCCUUCAAUUUAAACCAAGGUUUGCAUCCAUUAAUUAUGUUAGGUUCAUAUGACUUCACUACAUAAAUAGGUAGAUAAUGCAUAAGACUGAGAUUGUAGCUAGGGAUGAAAAUCUAAAUACGGCAUGAAUCUAACAAUUAUGAGUAAUGUCUUUGUGACAAGAACUUUCUUUGUCUUUUAUUCCCAUGUUUGAACUAGUAUAGGUCAGGGUUACACAUUAUGGUGCACAUCACUUUAUUUGUCAUCGUUACAUUGAACACUCAUUGACUAAACAACGAUGAUCCAUCCGUCUUGUAUUACAGGUCUUCAUUUCAUUGGCCACCGAUGCUUGUAAGACUACUCCCAGAUGGUUGUUGUUGUGGAUAUGGUUGUUGAGGUUGGUGUGGUUGCUGGGGGAAUGGUUGUUGGGGUUGCUGGGAAAUUGUUUGUUCUAGUUGCUGGGAUAAUUGUUGUUGGGGCUGCAGAAAUGGUUGUUGUGGUUGUUGUGGUUGCAGGAUGGAGGGUUGCUGGGAAAAUGGUUGUUGCGGUCGUAGGGGGAAUGGUUGUUGUGGUUGUAGAGGGAAAGGUUGUUGUGGUUGUUGAGGGAAUGGUUGUUGUGGUUGUUGGGGGAAUGAUUGUUGUGGUUGCAGGGGGAAUGGUUGUUGUGGUUGCUGGGGGAANNNNNNNNNNNNNNNNNNNNNNNNNNNNNNNNNNNNNNNNNNNNNNNNNNNNNNNNNNNNNNNNNNNNNNNNNNNNNNNNNNNNNNNNNNNNNNNNNNNNNNNNNNNNNNNNNNNNNNNNNNNNNNNNNNNNNNNNNNNNNNNNNNNNNNNNNNNNNNNNNNNNNNNNNNNNNNNNNNNNNNNNNNNNNNNNNNNNNNNNNNNNNNNNNNNNNNNNNNNNNNNNNNNNNNNNNNNNNNNNNNNNNNNNNNNNNNNNNNNNNNNNNNNNNNNNNNNNNNNNNNNNNNNNNNNNNNNNNNNNNNNNNNNNNNNNNNNNNNNNNNNNNNNNNNNNNNNNNNNNNNNNNNNNNNNNNNNNNNNNNNNNNNNNNNNNNNNNNNNNNNNNNNNNNNNNNNNNNNNNNNNNNNNNNNNNNNNNNNNUGGUUGCAGAGGGAACGAUUGUUGGGUCUGGGGAAAUGGUUGUUGUGGUUGCCAGGAAAAUGGUUGUUGGGGCUGUGGAAAAGGUUGUUGUGGUUGUUGGGGUUGCUGGGGGAAUGGUUGUUGUGGUUGUAAGGGGGUCGGUUGUUGGGGUUGGGGAAAUAAUUGUUGUGAUUGCUGGGGAAAUUGUUGUUGGGGUGUGGAAAAUGGUUGUUGUGAUGGAUAUGGUUGCUGUGAUGGAUAUGGUUGUUGUGGAUAUGGCUGUUGUGGAAAUAGUUUUUGUUGAUGGGAAAAUGAUUGUUGAGGUGAUUGUAACUCUUUGUUGUUAGGGUUUAGUUGCCUAGCGGCAAUGGCGGUGUUCAUCGCCAUGGCAAGGAGGACAAAGAUGAGGAAGGUCUUCAUGUUGGAUUUGUGGUUACUACUGCUUGCUUGCCUUUGAUGCUUGUGGUCUAGGUGUGUGAAGUUUUGUUGAUGGAAGGUGUCCUUGGUGGUGCAUGUGUAUUUAUAGUUUUCAUGGCAUGGCUUGCUUUCAUCUUUGCACUCGCUCUUUGAAAAAGUGCAUCAAUGCUUAUCCAACUAAUCAUUUGGUUUGUUGUGUUUGGUGCAACUACUUACUAGUGAGAUUUUGGAUUUUCAUGAUAGUUGUUUUUUGUUGAAAUCAUCUGGUUGUAAGGAAUGUUGGAUAAUGACCAAUGACUCAUCUUCUUCACUUUACACUGCAAACAUUGAUCUAGAUUAUGUCCCUUUUUGAAAUUUAGUUUGUGGAGCUCUACAUGUUGUUAGGCUUAUCCAUAUUGGCAUAGCUUGAGUGGAGCUAAGUUUGUAAGCUUGUGUGCGCCAUUAUGAUGGAUCACACUAUUAAUGUGAUGAUUGUUUUACAAAUUAUCUUUCCAAAACUAACUUUAUGUUUUUUGCCCAAUAUGAUUCUAAGACGGAUAACCAGACAUGACUCAUCAAAUAACAAGAUAAACCGAGUAGCAAGUUGGGGGUUAUAAGUUAUAAUAUGGACUUUUCUCUAAGAUACACCAUCUUGUCUUGCAUGCUCUGUGGAUUUGAAAAGCAUCUACUAAUUUAGAUGCAAUUGAAACAAAAGUAGACUAAAAAGGUAAGCAAUGAAAUGAGAAUACUAUUAUGUGAAGCUCUACAUGUCUGGUAAGCAGUGAGAUACUGGAUACAUCUAUAUCUUCAAUCCUUUCAUCCCUAUCAACUCUUUAUUGGCUGCUUUUAUCGUAGUCAUCCCUUAAAUAAAAAUCACUUAAAUAUAAGUUUGGGAGUUAGUACCAACAUAUAUCAUGUACAAGAUAGAAAACUAAGGCACAUAUAGUAGUCUAUUGACCAUAUUUAAUUUCUUGUGAUGUGAAAGCAUGUGGAGUAUAAGUUGGUUAAAUAUAAAGUUGUCCUUCAUACCAGUAGGGAAAGAAUAUGCAGUAUAAAGAUUAGAGCAUUGGACUAAUAUGCUAUUAAAUGCUACAGGAUAAUUGACAGUUCAAGUUAAGAACAACAUUAGCAUUCCAACUUUUGUCUUGUGCAAGUUAAGAACAUGCUAACAAAGUAACCUAAGCAAAUAAGUGCAAAACCUUCACCUAUAAGGAAAUUGUGAAACUACACAAAAUGACCUAUUGUAAAGAAGGAAAAAAAUCUAAAGGUGAAUGAAAGAACGUUAAGUACAUUCAGGAUUCGAUUAUGCCUUCAUGGAUAACCUUUUAGAUGGUGACAUGUCCAUGUUGAUGUGUGUCGGCAUGGAACGAGGACAAGAAGACGUCGUUGCGUCGUACUUUGGGAAUUUCAUCAAACUGGUUGUGUGCGGGAACAAAUAUUUGUCGCCUCCCUGCUCAAAUCUCUCUUCAUGUCACUGAAUCCGACACUCCACCUACCAAAAUCAGCUGCAAGCCAGGGAUAAUCAACGGGUUUCUCCGCCCGUAGCAUCUAUCACCAAAAGUAGUUCAGACUAUAGUCUUGUAGUUCAAAAUUUUGUAAUAACAAGCACUACUAGGUUGCUUUUGUUUGUACGUCUUCAUUCUGUACAACCCAUGGAACUAAAAAUGCAUUGGUCAUUCUUUGUUCUAUACAACCAAUUCAACCAAAAAUGCAUUGGGCUUUUCUUUGUACAUCUUCGGGUUCUACAACCAAUGCAACAAAAAAUCCAUUGGGUAGUCUUCCAUUCUAGUCGGGCACCAACAGUUAAAUGAGGAGCUAAACAAUGUUGGAGUCUAAAACUACAUACAAUCAUGAAGCAUAGAGAGGCGACUUGGAAGCUGUGCUCCUGUGAGCUCGUAUUUUUGUAGACAAAAAGUAAUGUUUGUAUUUUGAAGUGGGAAAAAAUCCUAAAAAGGGAUGUUUUGCGGGUUAUAACUUACUAUUUUUGGGUCCUGGGCUGCAGGAAGGUCGUCAAAAUCAAUGUGUUUUCCCAUUCAAUGCAUGUUUCUUGGGUUAUAGGUCACGCUUUUGGUGUCCUAGGGAGAUCACUUCCCCGGUCAAGAACAUUAGGUGAUGAUUUUUAGAAAAACUCAUUGUUUUAGCCUAACUAGUUUCGAGGAUUGGUGGACGGGAUUAUCAUGGAACAAAGUGACAACCUUCCUUUUCUUCAUGCCUAAUAUAAACUUAGCAGUCAGCUAAAAGUAACUAGCGAUAUCACAGAAUGUUUUUUGUCAAAAGUAGAUACCACUUCAGGAUUCAACUCGGUUAGUUCAAUCACAGACAUGUUAAGAGCAGGAUUUACAACUAACUGCAUAGGGAACAUCUCCUUUUAUCACCCACUAUCUGUCUGUGCACUUUGGUUUUCCCGUAGCAUCACACAAAGCACUUUGUUAGUACCAAUAAUGUGCUCCAACUCUACACAUUAAUCAUCUUGAAUUCUUCUACUGAUGUCGAACAAUGUAAUAUCUUGAAUUCUUCUAACGAGUUCGGAUUAGACUACAUGGGCAAUUUAUCUGGUCCCUGAGAUGCAAGGUCGAUGAACAAUCGCUUCGUCUUAUGACGAGGGGUUGUUUUUGCCUAAGAAACUAAUACAUGUAACUUCGACACCGGAUUAAUAAAUGGUAAAACCUAAAUAAAUUAGAUCACGAGCUAAACCAUUUACUUUUGUAUGCAUUUAAACUUUUGAUACAUAUGAGCUUGUUAAGAUGUUCGCAUAAACACCAUGGUGAUUUGAAGCAAGACAAAGUAAACUUGAACCGCUUGAGCCACUGACUUAAUAAGAACCUCCUUUCCCGCGGCAGAGAUUGUUUUUAAUACAUCCACUCACUUUGGCCCAUAGUUUGUCUUUGAGAUACUUAAAAGCACUAGACAUAGAAUUGACAAUAUUAGAAGGCAAGCCCAAAUAUUUCACAUUUAGUGUUUCUACUUGGACACUGAGACCACCUUUGACCUCAUUUUUGACAUUCUCUCUGCAAUCCUUGCUGAGAAACACUGAAGGCUUCCUAUUUAUUUAUUCUUGACCUAAAGCUUCAUUGCGUCUUGCCUUGGUCUUGCACUACUUGCGGCACAAUACGCCUUUGGAACUGCCGUUCCGAAUUCAGAGUGCCGAAGGUGGUGUGACGAUGUUGAGAUACCGUACUCGUUCGGUAGUGAUUCGGGUUGAUCAUUCAGAGUAGACUUUGACAAUAGCUGCAAGGACAAGAUUGCAUUAGGGAGCCUUUUAAUUACACCUCGGAGGUGCUCAGCAUCUUCUUGAUGAACAACAUGGUCCUAGUGUUGAAUAAUAUCAUAUGGGGUAGUGCUACAACAACUCCACCACAAGCAUGGAGGAAUUUAGCAAAUUCCAUCAGUACUAGGAGAAAGCCUAGUAGCAACGCGAGGUAAAGGACUACUAGUAGCGCGGGUGCCCACGCUACUACUAGGGUGCUACAGCUAAUUGGUAGUAGUAGCGUGGGUGACACCCUGCGCUACUACCACGUCUGUUAGUAUAGUAGCGCGAGUGUCACCCGCACUACUACUAGUUAUCUGUAGCCCGGGUCUGACCCCACGCUACUACUAACUAAUUAGGAAUUAAAAAAAUAAAUUCCAUCCAUGGUUGCUGCUGCUGGGCGUCAUCGUCCUCUCCGUCCAUGGCUGAUGUUGGUCCUGGAGGGGAUGACGUCGUCCAUGGUGAUGGUACUUCCUCACCCAAAUCGUCCCCACACCUCUCCUAUGCUACUGCUACAAAAUAAGAGAAAACGAUUAGAAGAGGAAGAGAGAUAUUGAGAGGAGUAGGAGGAGCAACUGACCGGUGGCCGCCGGAGUUGGAGCUGAUGCCCGAAACCCUAGACGAUGCCCGGUGACCUGUUGCUUCUUUUCCUGGGACCUCAUGUCCUCACAAGGCCAUGUCUCAGCGAGGAAGUGCAAGUGGUUGCGUAGCAGAUCUGUUCAUCGCCAUUGGUGGCGCUCUGUUGGAUCUUCCUCUCCUUCCAGCAUCGGAGAAGGAGGAGGAAGGAGGCGAAGGUGAGGCGUAAGUCAGUGGCCCAAAAUUUUUAUAUAGAUGAGACUUACUAAGUAAUAACCCCAUAGAAUCUAUCUAUAUAAAGAUAAAGAGGCAAUCGUGUCAGGAAGCGGGUUUUUCUUUGGCCAAAAGGUACUUAGAACUUGGAACGAGCAUGAAGAGAUUAACGAGACUUCUUUCUCUUUUGAGUUUUUCUGGCGGACCUGCCGCGCAAGAUCUUUGGUCUUCCCCUGGAACCGAUGAAAAAAAGUGGAUUGCUUCUUAUGUACUCGCUCAGCUUAAGAUGCUCGCAUAAUCCCCGUGGUAAUUUGAAGCAAUACAUAGAGUAAACUAGAACUGCUUGAGCCACUAACUUAAUGAGAACCUCCUUUCCCGUAGGAUAUAUCAUUUUUUCAAUCCAUCCAUUCACUUUGGCCCAUAGUAUGUCUUUGAGAUACUUAAAAGCAGUAGAUUAGAAUUACCAAUAUCAUAAGGCAAGCCCAAAUAUUUCUCAUUUAGUGUUUCUGUUGGACACUGAGAACACCUUUGACCUCAUAUCUAACAUUCUCUACACAACCCUUGCUGAGAAACACUGAAGACUUGCUAUUAUUUAUUCUUUGACCUGAAACUUGGCAAUAGGUUUGACACAUCUGUCGCCCCUGAACCAUUUGCCUUGAAAAACAGCAGGCUGUCAUCUGCAAAUAACAAGUGGUUAACUGAUGCCACCAAAGGAGCUACUUGGAUUCCAGUAAACUGGGAUGACUAGUCUCUAGAUUUGAGGAGGCCCGAAAGGCCAUGUACUGCUAACAGGAAAAUCAAGGUGAAUUGGAUCUUGCUGCCGUAUACCACGGGUAGGUUUGAGCUCAUCAAGUUUCUUGCUCUUGAAUAAAAUUGAAUAAGAUACAGAAGCUACCAUGCUCAUUUCUAUGGAGGCCCAUUUAACAGAGAAUCCAAAGUUGAGAUUUAUCACCUCCAAAUACGCCCAUUCAACUAGAUUAUAAGCCUUCAUCAUAUCCAAUUUUAGAGUACAAUGGUGAUGUUACAAUGACUUAUUCCUUUUCAUGAAAUGUAAGCACUCGUAGGCCACGAUUAUAUUGUCAGUGAUAAGGCGACCCGGAACAGAAGCCGACUCUUCACUCAAUAUUAUCUCCGGAAGGGCCCCUUUUAGCCGGUUAGCCAGAACUUUGGGUGUUAUUUGUAAAGUUGCAUAGGCUAAUACGACAGAACUGGCUUAGGAAAGUACCAUUUUGUACCUCAUCACUAUCCUCGCCACAAUACAAAGGACAACCAUUGUUACCUCCUCGCCGCAAAUAUCCCAAUGUUUCUCAAAGAAAUGUUCAAAGAAUCCGUCCGGGCCCAAGGCCUUCAUGCGGAACAUUUGAAACAAUACAAUUUAAACCUUGUUGUAGAAUACUUAGCGUCAAGGAAGGCAUUCAUCGCAUCACUGACCUUUACUGGAACCAAGUCAGGAAAUCAUGCAUAUUAGAAACAGUCUCAGAAGUGAAAAGCUCCGAGUAAAACUAUGUUGUGAUCUCUUCCAAUUCCUUAAGAACACUGAUAACAUCACAUUAGGUUGCUACAAUGAUUUGGUCAAAUUAUUCCGCCUUCUCAUCGAAGCCCUUAAGUGAAAGAAGCAUGUGGUCUUGUCCCCACUAAUCAGCCACUUAAUCUGAGAUCUAGUAGGCAAGAUGAGUGACGGGAAGUAGUUCGGAACAAUUUCCUCUUAUUCACUUCUAAAACAAAUUUUCGGUUUUUGUCGUUCCUAAGCCAAGGAUUUGAUAAAUAUUCAUAAAUUUUUAAAAUGUUCACCAAUAUUAAAAACAUCAUGAUUUUAAAAAACCGUGAUUUUUAAACAAAAUCAUAAAUAUGAAAAUUGCCAUUCACAAAAUUUUAAAAUAAAAUCAUGAAUUUUAAAAGAAUUUUCAAAAUUUUGAUAAAUAUCUACGAAUUUUACAACUUUGAUGAAUUUUAAAAACAAACCAUAACAAAAAAACACUAGCAAGUUCGAUCCUAAAAAAUGCCUUGCCUUCUACUAUGCGUAGCGUGCAUGGACAGCCGGACCUAGACACCCUAGACCAAAAACCCUACAUCUGGGCCAGGCCCGAGCUCCAUUUUUUGGCCCAAAGCCCAGCCCAAAAAGGCAGAAAUGGUAAGAAAUGUAUACUUUAUUCAAAAUAUAGGUAUAUUAUAUUGUUUUAGUAUCUCAAAUAAUUAUUUAAAUUGAAAAAUGUCGUUGUUCAUGUGUUUCUGGACGGGCCAAGCCAGGCUCAUGCUUGGGAUUUUUGCUUCGGGCUUUGACAACCUGGCCCGGGGUAUGAUCAAGUUCAGCAUGGCCCAGUCACACACCCUUGUACAACAUUUUGUUGUAGAGAGCGGCAAAUAUAAUUUUCCCGAUCUAAUAUUGCUCGCUAUAAGUCUAUAUCUAUACUUUUUUCUAUACCCAUACUAAUAAAGCAAGGUGCGUUUCCCCAAUUUUUUCAUUCAUUCACUGUCGAAAACAAUUAUGUUUCCUAUCCGAGGUGGUCCUAAAUUCUUAUGCGUUCAUCUGCUAAAAGAAAGGCUUUUCCGGAAUUUCUUACGUGGGUUGCGCGCUAUGGCCAGUGAAGUCAGCCCACUUAUUUUUCUGCCCAUGCAGCUCUAAAAAAUCUAUUUAACACACAGGGCAAGAAAUAGUCGGCACUUCAAACUGGAAAACAAAUAAUGGGCUAGCCAAUUUUUCUUUGUUUCUGUGUUUUAUUUCUAUUUUUAUUCUCCUUCCCCGAUUUCUUUUUUCACUUCCAAGUUUACAUUUCUUAUAGAAUUUAUUUUAUAAAUUCAAAAUUCUCAAAAAACAUAGAGAAUUUUAAAAAAAUGGAAAAUGUUCAUAACUCCAAUUUUUUUGCUAUUUAAAUUUUUUUCAGAACUUGAAUUUUUUCCCUUUUUCCGAAAAUUUUAUUGUUUUUUAAAAUUGUUAGAGAUUUCUAAAAAGAAAAUGGAAAUUUAAAAAGUCUUCCAAAUUCGAAAAAAAAUCAUGUUUUAGUGAAAUUUUCACAACUCAAAUUAUUCUUAAAAAAUACACAUUUUAAAAAGUAAGGAUUUUCAAUACAUGUUCCCGUUCUAAAAAAAUGUUGACAAAUUCAAAUAAUGUUCAUGUUUUUAUUUUAAAAGUUCGUGUUUUCAAAAAUGUUUGUAAAUUCUAAAAGAUGUUCCUAUUUCAUAUUUUGUUCAUGUUUUUCUGAAAGUGUACCUAAUUUUCAAAAAACUGUUCAGGAUUUAAAAAAUGGUUCAUGUUGCCUACAAUAUUGAGAAACUUCAUACCUUAAAAUCUCCUCGAUUGAAGGAACCAUAGAUUGAAUAAUUCAUGGGCCUUCUCUGGUGGACGAUGACGUAGCAAAACUCUUAAAUGCCCUCAAUCAAUGAAUGGAAAAAUAGCGAAUUGAGUACUUCACACCCAGCGAAACAAAGAAGCUAAAUGUUCCCUUUUUACGUGCGCACAGGGUUUUGCUUGCACAAAUAAUUCUCACUAACUUCCAAUGCAUACUAAUUUUUCUCCCAUUGCGAAGCACAAGCAUAUGUGCUAGUUUUAUCCACGGUGGUACUAAAUUUUUUUGAGUCCAUCUGCUAGAAAAAGGAAAAACAGUUUUGUCAAAAUUUUCGUACAUGGGCCGCGCGCGCUGUGGCCCAGCGAAGCUGGCCCAUUUAUUUCCGGCCGAAGCAGCUGAGAAUAAUUAUUUAACGCUUGGGGCGGCAAAUAGACAAAGUUUCGCAUAGGGCGCCAAAUAUUUGGUCGGCCCAUAUUUGUUUUCUCUCUAGUUUGUUUCUUUUUUUAUUUUCCUUUCUCCUUUUCUUAUCUCUUUACUUUUUCUUUUUUCCCUUUCAAGUUAAUUUUUCUUUUCUCCUUUUCCAUAAAUUAAAUUUUUCAAUAUUUCAGAAUUUUAGUUUUGGAUUAAAUUUUCGUAAAAUCUUCAUAAUUAUUUCUCCCCAUUUUGAAUUGUUUUUAAACUAUAAUUUUUUCUUCUUCUUCUUCCAAAAUUUAUUCAAAACUAUAGAAUAAAGUUCGCAUAUUAAUUUUUUUAUGCUUUCCAAAAUUGUUUGAUAUUUUCAAAAUAUAUUGCAUUAAAAAAUUAAAUAUUUAGAUUUUAUUGAAAUGUUAAUUCAAAGUAAUGUUUGUGUUUAAAAACAUGUUUUUCAAAAUUCUUUUCAAUGUCCAAAACACGUUUUCAUUUCCAAAAAAAAUCACGUAUUCAAAACAUGUUUGCUUUCUUAUAAUAGGUUCAUGUUUUCAAAAAACAUAAAUUUCAAAAAAAUUGUCACAUCUUAAAGAAUAUUCAAAAUAUCGUAAUUAUUACUUUAUUUUUUGAAAAAAAUCAAGAAAAACAGAAAAAAAAAUGUAUAUUAUGCUACAGUAUAUUCUUAAAAUUUCGCCCUCGCCAUUUGUUAGCAUGAGCUGUUUGUUCGAGUGGCUAGCAGCACGUGGUCGAGUUUUUGAGGUCAUGAGUUUGAUCCUUCAACUCAGUGGUUGUUUUGGAUUUUUAUUCACGCCUUACAAAUACAAGUCAUUUUGGUACCUGCCAGCGGCCUUGCCAGACUCGAACUGCCGUGCAUCCGACGUGCUAUUUGACGAUAAAAGAGAAUAUGUUGCUUGACUAUAAUUAAAAAAAUGUGGGCACAUGCCAAUAAAAGAGGAUAUGCUGGUUUGACUCUGAUUAAAAAAAUGUUGGCAAGUGAGCGUCGAAAUAAUUAAAGAGAAUAAACCCUGGUAAAGUAGGGACUACCUGGUUACGUGCUUAUUAUACCAAAGAAACGGGAUUUCCUGCAAUUAGUACUUCAACCGGUUACACCAUCAUAGGAGAGAGUAGUCGAAGCAACUAUGCCACGAAGGUCGCCGUGCUGCACAAAAUGAGGAGGCAACCGCAACCUAGACACGGAGGCAGACUCGGAGAAAAAAAAGCGCAAGUUGGGUGGUGGCCACCACUCCAGCAACCCCAUCAAUAUCAAGAACUCGUGGGCCAAACAUGAUCUCAAGAACAUCGCCGGGGAGACCUUUUGAUGGACACAUCAAUUAUCUCUCCUGAUACUUCUCGUUAAAAAUAUCUUUCUAGUUCUAACGCACGGGCAUAUGUGCUAGUGAUAUAUAAAAUAUGUUGUGCCAAUGAGCACACGGGCUAGCGAGACUCGCCAUGCUUUCAUGUCAUACCGGAGUCCAAACACUCAACUGGAGGGUCCAACCUUAGCGACAGAGUCUUCUUUUGUUGGGAGAAUCUAUAUAUCCGCGAGUGUUAUAUCUCGCAUCUGGUUUACGCGCAGUGCACCUAACCACUAGGCUUUGCCUUACAUUCAUGACAGAGUAGUAAAGCUAGAUUGUUUAAGUCCACACGAGUCAAGGUUUUCAAUGUUUCUUCUCCAUUUUUUUUCAUUUUUUCAUUUUUGUUUUUAUAUUUAUUUCUGUCGGGUUUGUUUGAUCCCUUUCGAGGGCAUAAUAGAGGAACCACACCGUGGUGAUGUGGAUGGGUUUAUAGAUACCAUCACUGUAGGGGAAACGAGGAAGGUUUUCGAUGCACGAAUCACUAGCAUACAUUUUCAUGUUUUACGCUAAUUUGCAAUAUUUGCUAGUCGUUGCUUAAUUGGUUGCGGAAACUGUGGAAACCUUAGUGUUCCUGAUAUUAUUAUUUUGUUCCACGGUUUAUUCUGUGAUAACUCUAUUAGUAUGGGCGGUAUUAUUCCUAAAUGGUUAAGUCUGAACUGUACAAAGGGCCCCAUCUUUGGAGGCAUCUAUGCUUCACACCUAGCUGCGCAUUUUAACAUAGCUAUUAGGCAUUAUGAGAAGGAAGAAAAAUUGCUACCCCCUGUUUAUUUAGAUUAUAAUAGUAUGGUGGCACAUGAUUUUAUUGUUAAGAAUAAGGAAGGGGAGCUUAAAUACAAAUUGUUCUUUGAUAAACAUCAUCCUGAGACUAUUACCCUGCCUGCUCCUUCCUUGUUUGAUUUAUCUGCAGGCAAGUACCUCGUUCCAUUAGAGGCUAUUCACGCCUACCGAAACCCUACAUCAGCCAUAGAGCCAGAGUCGGAACCACAAGUUGAUUCUCCAUGACAGUCUAAUUACCAUUGGGAUCCAGAAAUGAUUGCCACCAGUGGCAAUCAGAGUCUUCUUCGCAGUACGACCCCAACUAUUACUAUGGAUAUCCGCCAGGCCAGCCGUGGCCAUAGACCAACUUAGGUCAAAAGCCUAAACUUGGGGGAGUACGUAUUUCCCGCCGACAUUACAUUCAUGUUCGCACACUCAUUGCUAGAUGUCGGUGCUCAUACUUUUUCAUUGUAUCAUCCAUACUAGUUCAUUUCCUUUUUAAGCUUUCUUCUUGUGUGUUUAAUAAACCUUAAGAAAAACCAAAAACAUUAGUUGUAGCUUUUAGCUAGUUUUAAUUUCCAUGCUCGUAGUAGUAAUUAAAAAGAAAACCCAAAAAAAAGAUUUCAUGUUCUUCUUUUGCUUGUUGGGAGCUUUCCCGUGUAAAUAGUUUUAUUUCUUUUCUUUUCUUUGGGGGUCGAUAGGAGAAGACCAUGAUUAAAUUGUUGAAGUGGCUCUUAUAUGUAUUUUUGUUGAUCUGACAAAAGAGCCCAUAUUGCCUCGACUUCUCCUGUUUAUUGAAUGCUUGCAGAUUCCAGCUUAGUCCAAUGCACGUGCACUAUUAUUAUUAUCCACAUCAUUCGGUCGUGCAAGUGAAAGGCAAUUAUGACGAUAUAUGAUGGACUGACUGAGAUGAGAAAAGCUGGUAUGAACUCAACCUGUCUUGUUUUUGUAAAUAUGAUUAGUUCAUCGUUCCUGAUUCAGCCUAUUAUGAAUAAACAUGUUUGCAAUGACAACUAGAGAUCAUAGUUUCUUGUGCCAUGCUUGAUUAGCUAGGAGCUUAUAAUGGUUUACCUUGCGUGCCAACAUGCUAUUAAAAUGGUUGUGAUGUGGUAUGAUAGGGUGGUAUCCUCCUCUGAACGAUUCGAGUGGCUUGACUUGGCACAUAUUCACGCAUGUAGUUGAAACAAAAUCAACAUAGCCUCUACGAUAUUUAUGUUCAUGGUGAAUUAUAUCCUACUCAUGCUUGCAUUCGGUGCUGAUUAAUUUUAAUGCAUGUUUAUGACUGUUGUCGCUCUCUAGCUGGUCGCUUCCCAGUCUUUUGCUAGCCUUCACCUAUACUAAGCGGGAAUACUACUUGUGCAUCCAAUCCCAUAAACCCCAAAGUUAUUCCAUAUGAGUCCACCAUACCUACCUAUUUACGGUAUCUACCUGCCGUUGCAAGUAAAUUUGUAUGUGCCAAACUCUAAACCUUCAAAUAAAUAUCAUGUUUUGUAUGCUCGAAUAGCUCAUGUAUCAACUAGGUUUGUCUGUAUCUUUCAUGUUAGGCGGGUUAUUCUCAAGAGGAGUGGACUCCGCUCCUCACUCGCGAGAAAAUGGCUGGUCACCCGGAUGCCUAGUCCCAUGCUUUAUGCAAAUCAAAUCAAAAUAAUUGCAAACAAAAUUGCCCCUGGGACUCUUGUUAGUUGGAGGCACUCGUUGUUUCGAGCAAGCCAUGGAUUGAUGCUUGUUGGUGGAGGGGGGGUAUAAAAUUUUCCAUUCUGUUUGGGAACCGCCUAUAAUGUGUGUAGCAUGGAAGAUAUCACCAUCUCUUGGUUGUUAUGUUGACAAUGAAAGUAUACCGCUCAAAAUAUUAUUUACCUCUAUUUCAAAAUCGAGCUCUGGCACCUCUACAAAUCCCUGCUUCCCUCUGCGAAGGGCCUAUCUAUUUACUUUUAUGUUGAGUCAUCAUCCUCUUAUUAAAAUGCACCAGUUGGAGAGCACCGUUGUCAUUUGCAUUCAUUACUAUUAUUUUACAUUGAAUAUGACUUGACUGGAUCUCUUUUACCAUGAAUUACAAUGUCUAGUCAGUCCUUGAUCUUUAAAGGUGCUCUACAUUUAUGUUUUGCGGUCUCAGAAAGGGCUAGCGAGAUACCAUCUUGUUAUAUCAUAUCAUGAUUGUUUUGAGAAAGUGUUGUCAUCCGAGAUUUAUUGUUAUUGCUCGCUAGUUGAUUAUGCCAUUGAUAUGAGUAAACAUGAUACAUAAAUGUUAUUGGAAUAUGGUUAGUUCAUAAUCUUUGCUGAAAACUUGAAUGCUGGCUCUACAUAUUUACAACAACAAGAGCAAACAGAGUUUGUAAAAGUUUUUCUUUAUCACUUUCAGUUUAUCAACUGAAUUGCUUGAGGACAAGCAAAGGUUUAAGCUUGAGGGAGUUGAUACGUCUCCGUCGUAUCUACUUUUCCAAACACUUUUGCCCUUGUUUUGGACUCUAACUUGCAUGAUUUGAAUGGAACUAACCCGGACUGACGUUGUUUUCAGCAGAAUUGCCAUGGUGUUAUUUUUGUGCAGAAAUAAAAGUUCUCGGAAUGACCUAAAAAUCAAAGGAGAAUUAUUUUGAAAUAUAUAAAAAAUAUUGGAAGGAAGAUCCACGUCAGGGGGGCCUCCACCUGUCCACGAGGGUGGAGAGCGUGCCCUACCCCCCUGGUGCUACCUCUUGAGCACUGCGUUGGUUUUCCCUUGAAGAGGAAAGGGUGAUGCAGUAAAGUAGUGUAAGUAUUUCCCUCAGUUUUUGAGAACCAAGGUAUCAAUCAAGUAGGAGAUCACGCUCGAGUCCCGCGCACCUACACAAACAAAUAAGAACCUCGCAACCAAUGCAAUAAAGGGGUUGUCAAUCCCUUCACGGUCACUUACGAGAGUGAGAUGUGAUAGAUAGGAUAAGAUAAUAUUUUUGGUAUUUUUAUGAUAAAGAGAAAUAAAGAUGCAAAGUAAAAUAAACAGCAAUAGAAAUAACUAAGUAUCACCUGGGCGCACCCCCCUGCCUCGUGGACCCCCUGACGCUCCACCGACCUCAACCCUGACUCCAUAUAUUCACUUUCGGGGAGAAAAAAACCAGAGAGAAAGAUUCAUCAUGUUUUACGAUAUGGAGCCGCCGCCAAGCCCUAAACUCUCUCGGGAGGGCUGAUCUGGAGUCUGUUCGGGGCUCCGGAGAGGGGAAUCCGUCGCCAUCGUCAUCAUCAACCUUCCUCCAUCACCAAUUUCAUGAUGCUCACCGCCGUGCGUGAGUAAUUCCAUCGUAGGCUUGCUGGACGGUGAUGGGUUGGAUGAGAUUUAUCAUGUAAUCAAGUUAGUUUUGUUAGGGUUUGAUCCCUAGUAUCCACUAUGUUCUGAGAUUGAUGUUGCUAUGACUUUGCUAUGCUUAAUGCUUGUCACUAGGGCCCGAGUGCCAUGAUUUCAGAUCUGAACCUAUUAUGUUUUCAUCAAUAUAUGAGUGUUCUUGAUCCUAUCUUGCAAGUCUAUAGUCACCUACUAUGUGUUAUGAUCCGGCAACCCCGAAGUGACAAUAAUCGGGACCACUCCUGGUGAUGAUCGUAGUUUGAGGAGUUCAUGUAUUCACUAUGUGUUAAUGCUUUGGUCUGGUACUCUAUUAAAAGGAGGCCUUAAUAUCCCUUAGUUUCCGCUAGGACCCUGCUGCCACGGGAGGGUAGGACAAAAGAUGUCAUGCAAGUUCUUUUCCAUAAGCACGUAUGACUAUAUUCGGAAUACAUGCCUACAUUACAUUGAUGAAUUGGAGCUAUUUCUGUGUCACCCUAGAUUAUGACUGUUACAUGAUGAACCGCAUCCGACAUAAUUCUCUAUCACCAAUCCAUUGCCUACGAGCUUUCCAUAUAUUGUUCUUUGCUUAUUUACUUUUCCGUUGCUAUUGCUAUCAUCACUAUAAAACAACAAAAACAUUACUUUUGCUAUCGUUACCUUUUGCUACCGUUACCACUACUAUCAUAUUACUUUGCUACUAAACACUUUGCUGGAGAUAUUAAGUUUCCUGGUGUGGUUGAAUUGACAACUCAGCUGCUAAUACUUGAGAGUAUUCUUUGGCUCCCCUUGUGUCGAAUCAAUAAAUUUGGGUUCAAUACUCUACCCUCGAAAACUGUUGCGAUCCCCUAUACUUGUGGGUUAUCAUUGCUCCUGCAGCGGGUCUUGCACCUAGCGGUGCUUCUAGGACGUAAUUCUUCUGUGUAGCAAUGAGGAUAAUUCUCAAGUUAUGGACCCAGUCCGUGUAGUUGCUACCAUCAUCUUUCAACUUAGCUUUCUCUACGAACGCAUUAAAAUUCAAAGGAACAGUAGCAGGGGCCAUUGAUCUACAAUAACAUAGACAUGCAAAAUACUAUUAGGUGCUAAGUUCAUGAUAAAUUAAAGUUCAAUUAAUCAUAUUACUUAAGAACUCCCACUUAGAUAGACAUCCCUCUAGUCAUCCAAAUGAUCACGUGAUCCAUAUCAACUAAACCAUGUCUGAUCAUCACGUGAGAUGGAGUAGUUUCAAUGGUGAACAUCACUAUGUUGAUCAUAUCUACUAUAUGAUUCACGCUCGACCUUUCGGUCUCAGUGUUCCGAGGCCAUAUCUGCAUAUGCUAGGCUCGUCAAGUUUAACCCGAGUAUUCUGCGUGUGCAAAACUGGCUUGCACCCGUUGUAUGUGAACGUAGAGCUUAUCACACCCGGUUAUCACGUGGUGUCUCGGCACGAUGAACUAUAGCAAUGGUGCAUACUCAGAGAGAACACUUGUACCUUGAAAUUUAGUGAGAGAUCAUCUUAUAAUGCUACCGCCGUACUAAGCAAAAUAAGAUGCAUAAAGGAUAAACAUCACAUGCAAUCAAAAUAAGUGAUAUGAUAUGGCCAUCAUCAUCUUGUGCCUUUGAUCUCCAUCUCCAAAGAACCGUUAUGAUCACCAUCAUCACCGGCUUGACACCUUGAUCUCCAUCGUAGCAUCGUUGUCAUCUCGCCAACUAUUGCUUCUACGACUACCGCUACCGCUUAGUGAUAAAGUAAAGCAAAAACAAGUGUGAUGUCCUCUACUUUGUUGUUGCAAGUUUUACGUGGCUGCUACGGGCUUCUAGCAAGAACCGUUCUUAUCUACGCCUCAAAACCACAACAAUUUUUCGUCAAGUGUGUUGUUUUAACCUUCAACAAGGAUCGGGCGUAGUCAAACUCGAUUCAACUAAAGUUGGAGAAAUAGACACCCACUAGCCACCCGUGUGUGAAGCACCUCGGUAGAACCAGUCUCAUGAACGCGGUCAUGUAAUGUCGGUCUGAGCCACUUCAUCCAACAAUACCGCCAAAUCAAAGUAAGACGUUGCUGGUAAGAAGUAUGACUAUUAUCGUCCACAACUCAUUGUGUUCUACUCAUGCAUAUAACAUCUACGCAUAGACCUGGCCCGGAUGUCACUGUUGGGAAACGUAUUAUUUCAAAAAAAAAUCCUACAAUCACGCAAGAUAUAUCUAGGAGAAGCAUAGCAAUGAGCGGGGAGAGUGUGUCCACGUACCCUCGUAGACCGAAAGCGGAAGCAUUUAGUAACACGGUUGAUGUAGUCGAACGUCUUUGCGAUCCAACCAAUCCAAACACCUAACGUACGGCACCUCCGCAUUCAGCACACGUUCAGCUCGAUGACAUCCCUCGAGCUCUUGAUCUAGUUGAGGCCGAGGGAUAGUUCCGUCAUCGCGAUGGCGUGGCGACGGUGAUGAUGAAGUUACCGGCGCAGGGCUUCGCCUAAGCACUACGACGAUAUGACCGAGGUGUGUAACUGUGGAGGGGGGCACCGCACACGGCUAAGAGAAACUUGUGUCUUUGGGGUGCCCCCUCCCACGUAUAUAAAUGGAGGGAGGAGGCCGGCCCAAGGGGGGGCGCCACAUGUGGGGAGUCCUACUAGGACUCCCUUGUCCUAGUAGGAUUCCCCUCUCCUUUCCUUUUACGGAGGGGGAAAGGGGGGAAGGAGAGGAGGGGAAGAGGGAAAGGGGGGCACGCCCCCUCCCCUUCCUAUUCGGACUCCACUUGGGGGGGACGCGCACGCCUCCCCCUUGUGGGUUGUCCCCUCUUCUCUCCCAUGGCCCAUAAGGCCCAUGAUUUCCCCCAGGGGGUUCCCGUAACCUCCCGGUACUCCGAAAAAAUUCCCGAAUCACUCGGAAUCAUUCCGAUGUUCAAAUGCAACCUUACAAUAUAUGAAUCUUUACCUCUCAACCAUUUUCGUGAUCUCAUCUGGGACUCCGAACAAACUUCAGUCAUCAAAUCACAUAACUCAUAAUACAAAUUGGCAUCGAACGUUAAGUGUGUGGACCCUACGGGUUUGAGAACUAUGUAGACAUGACCGAGACACAUCUCCGGUCAAUAACCAAUAGCGGAACCUAGAUGCUCAUAUUGGCUCCUACAUAUCUACGAAGAUCUUUAUCGGUCAAACCGCAUAACAACAUACGUUGUUCCCUUUGUCAUAUGUAUGUUAUUUGCCCGAGAUUCGCUCGUCGGUAUCCUCAUACCUAGUUCUAUCUCGUUACCGGCAAGUCUCUUUACUUGUUCCAUAAUGCAUCAUCUGGUAACUAACUCAUUAGUCACAUUGCUUGCAAGGCUUAUAGUGAUGUGCAUUACCGAGAGGGCCCAUAUAUACCUCUCUGAUACACGGAGUGACAAAUCCUAAUCUCGAUCUAUGCCAACUCAAGAAACACCAUCGGAGACACCUGUAGAGCAUCUUUAUAAUCACCCAGUUACGUUGUGAUGUUUGAUAGCACACUAAGUGUUCCUCCGGUAUUCGGGAAUUGCAUAAUCUCAUAGUCAUAGGAACAUGUAUAAGUCAUGAAGAAAGCAAUAGCAAUAAAAUUAAACGAUCAUUGUGCUAAGAUAACGGAUGGGUCUUGUCCAUCACAUCAUUCUCUAAUGAUGUGAUCCCGUUCAUCAAAUUACAACACAUGUCUAUGGUUAGGAAACUUAACCAUCUUUGAUUAACGAGCUAGUCUAGUAGAGGCAUACUAGGGACACUCUGUUUGUCUAUGUAUUCACACAUGUACUAAGUUUCCGGUUAAUACAAUUUUAGCAUGAAUAAUAAAGAUUUAUCAUGAUAUAAGGAAAUAUAAAUAACAACUUUAUUAUUGCCUCUAGGGCAUAUUUCCUUCAGGAAGAGCAUUGCGGGUGGGAGGGAGAAGGGGAAUUAAGAGAGUGUAGGUUUCGGUUUGGGCCUCCGCGCGCUAUGUGUACACAUGUGUUGGUGGGUCAAUAGUAGUGGCGCCAGGUUUAUACCCCACACUACUACUAUGGCCUAUCCCGGGGGUACGAUAGAGACCACUUAGUAGUAGCGAGGGAUUUAUACCCCUCGGUACUACUAUCAACUUAGUACUAGUGAGGGAUUUAUACCCCUUGCUACUACUAUCAACUUAGUAGUAGUGAGGGAUUUAUACCCCUCGAUACUACUAUGGCCAGUCCCGGGGGGCACGGUGGAGACCACUUAGUAGUAGUGUGGGGUUUAUACCGCUCGCUACUACUAUCAACUUAGUAGUAGCGUGGGUUCUAUACCCCUCUCUACUAAUAAUUAGCAGCAGUGUGGCCCAUAUACCCCUUGCUACUGUUAAGCAUCUAUCUAUAAAUUAUUUUCUAGUAGUGCAUCAAUGGCGGCGAAAUCAGUCAUUCUGCUUGUUUUCCCUACUAGCUCUCUGACGUCCAGAACAAGUUUACGGUCAUAAGGUGCAAUGCCCUUGCCUUCAUGAGUGACACGAUGACACGGGAACGGGCUUCCAAGCCUAUGGUGUCGCAUCGUGUCGUGGUCUGCUAAACUUAGUGGACGGAUGCUACUCCAAUAUCGGUUGAUCCUAUACUACGGUACCAAGGAAGACACGCAACUACUAUAUAUAUUUCUUCAAGUCAGUCAACACAAGUAAACUCUGGGAGUUCAACUGGUGCAGCUAUGCAAUGCUAAUGGAGACAACACAAUUCAACUUUAGCACUUCACACAUAAGAAAAACCACGUUCAAUGGCACACACCUUAGAGUGUACCUAUGGUGGUUGAAUGGGCUAUAAGAAAUGUGAGUCCAUGUGAAGAUGCCAAACAUAAUAACACGGCUAAUUACACAUGCAGUGGCAGCAGCAACAAGUGCGUGAAUUCAACAAAUGAUCUAGGGUACACAUGCAACGGUGUCCUUGAGUAUGACAACAACCCUUAUCUUCUAGACAAAUGCAUGGUAUGCUACUAAUUUAUUUGCUACAAAUUCCAAUGAAUUGUGUCCUUUGCUUUGUACAUACCCAAUUAUAAUAUUUUAUUAUGCUAAUACAAUGUAGCCUUCAAUUUAAACCAAGGUUUGCAUCCAUUAAUUAUGUUAGGUUCAUAUGACUUCACUACAUAAAUAGGUAGAUAAUGCAUAAGACUGAGAUUGUAGCUAGGGAUGAAAAUCUAAAUACGGCAUGAAUCUAACAAUUAUGAGUAAUGUCUUUGUGACAAGAACUUUCUUUGUCUUUUAUUCCCAUGUUUGAACUAGUAUAGGUCAGGGUUACACAUUAUGGUGCACAUCACUUUAUUUGUCACCGUUACAUUGAACACCCAUUGACUAAACAACGAUAAUCCAUCCGUCUUGUAUUACAGGUCUUCAUUUCAUUGGCCACCGAUGCUUGUAAGACUACUCCCAGAUGGUUGUUGUUGUGGAUAUGGUUGUUGAGGUUGGUGUGGUUGCUGGGGGAAUGGUUGUUGGGGUUGCUGGGAAAUUGUUUGUUCUAGUUGCUGGGAUAAUUGUUGUUGGGGCUGCAAAAAUGGUUGUUGUGGUUGCAGGAUGGAUGGUUGCUGGGGUUGGGGCUGGGGAAAUGAUUGUUGUGAUUGUUGGGGUUGCUGGGAAAAUGGUUGUUGCGGUUGAAGGGGGAAUGGUUGUUGUGGUUAUAGAGGGAAAGGUUGUUGUGGUUGUUGAGGGAAUGGUUGUUGUGGUUGUUGNNNNNNNNNNNNNNNNNNNNNNNNNNNNNNNNNNNNNNNNNNNNNNNNNNNNNNNNNNNNNNNNNNNNNNNNNNNNNNNNNNNNNNNNNNNNNNNNNNNNNNNNNNNNNNNNNNNNNNNNNNNNNNNNNNNNNNNNNNNNNNNNNNNNNNNNNNNNNNNNNNNNNNNNNNNNNNNNNNNNNNNNNNNNNNNNNNNNNNNNNNNNNNNNNNNNNNNNNNNNNNNNNNNNNNNNNNNNNNNNNNNNNNNNNNNNNNNNNNNNNNNNNNNNNNNNNNNNNNNNNNNNNNNNNNNNNNNNNNNNNNNNNNNNNNNNNNNNNNNNNNNNNNNNNNNNNNNNNNNNNNNNNNNNNNNNNGAAUGGUUGGUGGGGAAUUAUUUGUUCUGGUUGCUGGGGAAUUAUUUGUUCUGGUUGCUGGGGGAAUGGUAGUUGGGGUUGGGGAAAUGGUUGUUGGGGUUGCUGGGGGAAUGGCUGUUGUGGUUGCAGAGGGAACGAUUGUUGGGUCUGGGGAAAUGGUUGUUGUGGUUGCCAGGAAAAUGGUUGUUGGGGCUGUGGAAAAGGUUGUUGUGGUUGUUGGGGUUGCUGGGGGAAUGGUUGUUGUGGUUGUAAGGGGGUCGGUUGUUGGGGUUGGGGAUAUAAUUGUUGUGAUUGCUGGAGAAAUUGUUGUUGGGGUGUGGAAAAUGGUUGUUGUGAUGGAUAUGGUUGCUAUGAUGGAUAUGGUUGUUGUGGAUAUGGCUGUUGUGGAAAUGGUUGUUGUUGAUGGGAAAAUGAUUGUUGAGGUGAUUGUAACUCUUUGUUGCUAGGGUUUAGCUGCCUAGCGGCAAUGGCGGUGUUCAUCGCCAUGGCAAGGAGGACAAAGAUGAGGAAGGUCUUCAUGUUGGAUUUGUGGUUACUACUGCUUGCUUGCCUUUGAUGCUUGUGGUCUAGGUGUGUGAAGUUUGGUUGAUGGAAGGUGUCCUUGGUGGUGCAUGUGUAUUUAUAGUUUUCAUGGCAUGGCUUGCUUUCAUCUUUGCACUCGCUCUUUGAAAAAGUGCAUCAAUGCUUAUCCAACUAAUCAUUUGGUUUGUUGUGUUUGGUGCAACUACUUACU